UCACCAUCAUGUUCACUCCUUCCAUAGCAUUGACUUGCUUAGGAUUUUGCACUUGAUUUAGUUGGGCCUUUGCUGGUUGAGUCAUGGUAGUUGUCAAUUCGGCAAUGGCUUGCCCAUGAUCUUGCAAUGCUUUGUGAAGGUGGAUCAUAUUCGGGUCACCUUGUGGAACAUUGGCCCGAUAUUGCCAAGACUACGACGUUUCCUCCAUCUCAUCCAAAAUCUCACACGCCUCUGCAUAAGGCAUAGUCAUAAAGUUCCCACUGGCUAGUUGAUUCACUACACAUUGGUUGGGUGUGAUAAUACCACGAUAGAAGGUUUGUUGAAUCAUGUUUUCUAUCAUAUUGUUGUUGGGACAUUCCUUCACCAUAGUUCUAUAGCAAUCCCAUAUCUCCUGUAGUGGUUUAUUCGGCUCUUGCUUUAAUGCUAAGAUCUCAUAUCGAAGUGUAGCCAUGUGUCCGGGAGAGAAGAACUUAGCAAUGAACUUUUCCACCAACUCAUCCCAAGUGUGAAUUGAAUGGUUCGGCUAUCAUUCUAACCAAUCUAAAGCUUUACCCCCGUAGAGAGAAGGGAAAAACCCUUAUCCUGAAUGCAUCCUCGGAGACAUUUGUUUUCUUGCUCCCCCAACAAGUGUCCACAAACCUCUUCAAAUAUUUAUAAGCAUUUUGUGUUGGAGCACUGGUGAAGAAUCCCCGUUGCUCAAGCAAAGUGAGCCUCACAUUGGUGAUUUGGAAGUUGCCCGCCCUAAUACUGUCACGCCCCGACUAUGGGGAGCGCGACCGGCAUUCAACUGAGAUACCCCGGUCAAGCAAGCCUGAACAAUGCCUUCUACCCAACUCACCCAUUAAUAAAGAGAGGGUAUAUAUAUAUAUCAUUAAUUAAACAUUAAGAGGAUUUCAUGAAUAGUGCCAAUUCCAUUACCAAUAGCUGCUGCAUUUAUAAUUCCUAAAAUAUAUUACACACUCAUAAUUUGAAGUGGAUCAUGUAAUACAAAUACAACAUAUCUAGUUUGACUUUGCCAACACCUCUAUACAACCCACAAUAUGUCUACAGAGCCUCUAAGUACCACCAAAGAGUAAUAUGGAAGUGCCGACGAUAAGGACCCGGCUAUACCUCAAAACACAAAGUACAACAUCAAGUGACAUGAGGCCCGGAAUAGAGUAGGGCUCACCAAAACCUACUGAGUAGAGAGUAACUGCUAACGAGAAUCAAAGCUGCCCGCUGACGAACCACCUGCAUCCAUUGAAGAUGUAGCGCCCCUACAAAAGGGAUGUUAGUACAUGUGGAAUAGCACUAGUAUGUGAAUCUAAAUGUCCUCUUUAGAAAUAAAAUGCCAAUAUAAGAAAGGGAAAACCAUGGAAGAAACAAGUAACAAUCAAUGAUAUCCAAAUGCCAAGUUAAAAUAUAAUAAGUUUUAAAAUACGAAAAUAAUAUCAUUUUUGGUUGGGAGAUCAUUAGCACCGAUAUACCAUCGUAAUUUUAGUACGGAGUCCGAUCACGCCCGAUCGGCUAGGCCAUCUCUCCACGAACAAUGUGGAUUGGCAUGUGAUGAGAAAGAAAGGUGUUACCAAGAGUAGGAACCACCAUGCGCGCUACAUGGCAUCCGAUCACCACCCGACCGGCUGGGUCAUCUUCCCACAUAUGCCGUGUGAGUCGACAUCAAAUCCAGGGCAAUCAACAAUCUCAUCCUAAUUAGGGGAUUAUUCUCAAUACAUCAAUCUCAUACAAAAUAAGUGGAAUAAUCACAAUCCACUCCUACACCGGCACGUGUAGUUUCGGGUGUGGGCUGUUACAGACCACCCUUCCUCGGUUCGCUAAUGAUACUCCCAAAAAUAUUUUGUUUUGAACACAAGGGAAACAGAAGUACAAAUACAUUCAUCUCAUAACCUUUCACACCAUAUAUAGCUUCAUUAGUACAUUCAACCAUUCACAACAUCAUUAUUUCCUUGGCUCUCUUGGCCAUAUGUAUGAUUCUUCAUUCAUGGCACGUUGGCCGUAUCUUAUAUUCCACACUUUCAUUUCUUUACUUUCCAGAAAUCAUCAUCAUAAAUAUCAACAUAUAAAAUAUUCCAAAAAUCACAACUUUAGGUUUAUUAGUAAUGAAGGCUGUUAAACACAAUAGAUUCCUUUUCAAAUAUAGAGCAAAAUGACUAGCAAUUGAAGCACGAUUUAAAAUCAUAACGAGUGAUACACUACUUAUUCUUAAAUUACUUUUUCCCAAAAGGACAAUACACAAUUUUAACUCAUGAGUAUGUAAGAACUCAAAUCACAUUGGAAAUAUUUAUAAAGGAGAGUAUGGUGAUUUACGAUUGAAACACGAAUACAAAUCAAAUGCACUAGUUACAACAACCAUGGCGACGUUUUACAUCUUACUAUCACUUCUUUCACUUCCAAACAUCAUCAUAGGUUACCAACAAUUAAGGGUAUUUGGAAUCAAGACCUCGAAUAUGUAUGUGAGCAAUAUGAGUCUUAAGCACGUUGAGUUUUCUUUCCAAGUUAAGCUUAAUAAACUUUCAUUUGAAACAUGAAUUGAAGUUACAUCACUUUAACACAUUAACCAUACUUAAACACAGUCUCAAAGGAGAUCAUGACGAGAUAGGAGUAAGUGGAACACGUUUGAGUACAUACAUCUUUUGACACUUUUCCUACUUGGGAUAAUCCAAUUUAUUAGGAACAACUCGGAACAUGGGAAUUAGGAACCUAGGCCAACCAUACUUGAAACUUACGGGAACAUCAUGAAAUUCGAUUCUAAGAGAGAUGUUUAGCCAACAUAUCUUUCUUGAGCUUUCCUUAGGUUACUAAAAUGUCCCAACACCUCUAGCAAUAUCAAUCUAUAGAAAGAUAUCAAAAUCAGGUAAUAAUUAGAAGGAUUCUCAUGAUAUAACUCUCUUGGGAAUUUUGUCAAACACUUAGUAUGCAAAAUAUACUACAAAGCUCUACAAUGGUAAUCCCUUCCUCCAUCAACCAAUUCCAACAAGGAACUACCCAAAAUGGUUCAUUAACCCCACAUACUACAACCUGUUGUCACAUGCAUGGCCUAUUUCCAACCCCAAAACAUACUUGAACUCAUAACCUCUUGCAUGAAAGUUUAGGAGUAGGACUUACCUGGAUAGAUGAUAACCUAGUGAUUGGCUUCCUUGAUUCUUGAAGAUUGGUGCAAGAAUGGGUGAUUAGAAUGCUUGAUUUCCUCCUUCUCUCUCUAAAAUACUCUUACCUCUCUCUAAAAUCAUUAGACAUUCGCUUCAAAAUGAGCCCCUAAGGCUAUUUAUCAAAAUGGAGUCGAGUUAUAAAAAUAGAAAAAUGGACUCUCCAAACUUAGGUCUGCGGUCGCAGAAUGGACCGCAUAACAGAUAUACGGCCUGCAAAAUGGGCAUCGAAAAUGAUGCCAAGAACUGGGAUGGUCUGGAACGGUCUGCAGUCCGCAGACCACUUAUGCGGCCGUAGAGUAGACCGCAGAAUUACUCUCCAAAAUUCUUCAUGACAAAUCUGCGAUGGAAAUGCGGACCGUAAAAUGGAUAUGCAAUCGCAAAAAUGACCGCAAAACGACCUUCAAAAUCCAACCUUUUUUUUGCUCAACUCUACGACGGGUAUGUGGCCCGCAGAGUGGUUCUGCGAUCGUGAAACUGGCUGCAGAGUUGCCUUCUUCUGCCAAUACUUUCCAUCAACUUCUGAGUACAUUCUUCAACCCAAAAAGUCUGUAACCACUACCUUCGGAUACAAAAGCCUACCUCAGCACCACAAAACCUCAAAUUUCUUGGCGAAAGUUUAUGGGGCCUUACAUCCUUUCCUACUUAGGAUCAUUCGUCCUCGAAUGAGGAGUAGAGUCCGCCCCAAAUACCUAACAUAGCUCAACUUGUCUUUCAAACAGCUCAAGCCCCCAAAUUUGACUCACUCCCAAAUUUUUCAGAAAUUUCUGUAGAGUCUCCUCUAUAAUUGGACCUAUCCAACUGCCAGAGAAUCACCAAACCACUAAACAAGCAUCACAAUAUAUAUCAACAAAACUAAUCUCAACAUAACCGGCAUUACAUUAUCAAAAGUUAUAUCUGGAUAUGAGUUGCACAUAUUUAUAUCAUAACACAUAGAAUGUACCUUCCGAAUCACAACCAUUUGGCUAUACAAACAAUUGAGCGUAUUUCCUUUCCACAACACUUUUGGCCUUCGAGGUAACAUCCUCGACUCACAGACUUAGCCAUAGCACUUGGCGGAGGAAAUUUCAACUUCCGGACUUAUCUAACAAGGAUUACAAUUAGGGACCUCUCAUAAGCCAAUUAUCCAUUAACUUUACCUUCAAAAACUUCCACCAGAACGAUAGACAAAGGACUUCCAACUAUCUUCUCGUCCAUAGAGACAUAAAACACCGGGUGCCUAGAGGACAACAGUGGGGAAACAUCAUACUCAUAGUUUGGCUUAUUUCUGUCAAGAUUACAUAAGGCCCAAUGUGCACUACACCUACUUUACCUUUAUUAACAAUUCACAUAAUAUCUUCAUGGAGAAAAUCUAGAGAAUAACCCUUUCACAUUCUCCAAUUCUAAAUCUCUAUGUCGGACACCCAAAUUAAACCCUCGGCAACCUUUAAUCAUUAUUCUACGAUGGGCUAGAAUGAAUAUGACCAUAGAGUUCCUACUCAAUAUGUUUGAUCAUGGAUUGAUGCUUCUUCUUUGACAUGCUGAACCUACUACUCUCGGUAGAUUUAAUGCAAGGAGGAACAACGGGGUUCGAGAUUGAGCUGGAAUUGUUCAAGAAUUCAUCAAUGUGCUGAGAAGGGCAUUUCAGGAAGUUAUAUCCUAAGAGAUAUGAAGGUUACUACCAAUAACGCUAACAUGGUUAUUCAGUGUGAUGAUAUCAUUGAUUCGACAAAUGAGGCAUAGAUUUGCCUAGUAGGCAUUGAUAAUGUGGGAACCAUGUACAUGAUCUUAAGAUGUAAAAGAAGUGAGUCGUUUUAGACGUGUGAUAUAUGGGAGGCAUGAUCGGGAGGAUAAAGACAUUAGCGUCAGUUAUUCUUGGAAUAUUAUGAGUUAUGAAAGGGACGAUAACAAUUAUUUUAUUCCAUAUAUGCCUUGUUCGGCAAUAGUAAGCCUUAAGGAGAAAUCGCCAAGUACGUGACACUAGUUACCUUCUUAAGUGUAGGGAAAAUCGGUUUAACUCAAAAUGAGAAGAGUUUUGCACCAUGAAUGUGAUAGAGGUUCCAAAAGGACAUGAAGUUCCACUAUGCUCCUAAUAGUAUUUGACACAAGGAAACUACGCCCCAAGCCUACCAGGUUGAAAAGGAGGUUGAACACUUGUGAGGCUCUUAUUCUGGAAAAUUAACCCUUUCCCGAUAGUUGAUCCUAUAAGAGAGGACUAGAAAUGCGAUAAACUUAUCUUUCAAAUCAAUAUGCUUGUGAUAUGUGCCAAAAUCUGAAAUAUCCACCUGAAGUGGGGAGGGAAAGGCCGCUGAAAAUAGACCCUCCGAACUCAGGCCUGCGGUCGUAGAAUGGACCGCAUAACAAAUAUACACCCCGCAAAAUGGGCUGCGAAAAUGAUGCCAAGAAUUGGACCAGUCUGGACUGGUCUGCGGCCCGCAGUCUACUUAUGCGGCCGCAGAGUGGACCGCAGAAUUACUCUCCAAAAUUCUUCAUGCCAAAUCUACGACGAAAAUGUGGACUGCAAAAUGGAUAUGCGAUCGCAGAAUGUACUGCAAAACAACCUUCGAAAUUCAACCAUUUUUUCGCUCAACUCUAUGACGGGUAUGCGGCUCGCGCAGUGGUUCUACGGUCGCGAAACUGAUCACAGAAUUGCCUUCUUCUGCCAAAUAUUUCCAUCUACUCCUCAGUGCAUUCUUCAACCCAAAAAGUCUGUAACCACUACCUUCGGAUACAUAAUCCUACCUCAGCACCACAAAACCUUUAAUUCCUUAGUGAAAUUUUACGGGGCCUUACAAAUAUGGGGAGGGACUAUUGCACUAGCAUAACCGUCAUUGAGAUAUAUCCAGUAUGGAGUCGCUCAUGGUGGAGGUUGGGGUGGAACGAGCACAUUGUCAUGAGGUACCCGGCCUCUCCGAUUGGCUUGUGGCUCAUGAGAUACCUCCUCUACUUGCUCGUCCUCCGCAUGCAAAUCCCCCAAAGGCAAAUUUCCGAGCUCAUUGUUCGCCAUGGUUGUACCUAAGAUUUCUCACACAAGUUAGUAGCACGGAAGGAAAAGAAGAUAUUCCAAAAAUAAACACAAACAUAUAGCUAACACCAUUUUAACUCCCCGGCAACGGCGCCAAAAAUUAAUUCACGUCCAAUACGCACUCAAUAGUGAGUGAAAAUGGUCAUUGGAAGAAUAGUACCCAACAAGAGUCGGGGUCGAUUUCCACAGGGAGUUACAUUGGGUGUUAGGAGUAUACACUUGACGAGAGCGAAUGGAUUAACUAAAUUUGCACUUCCACAAAAGGUUUUGAUUUCUAAUUCUACUUUUACUCUAAUAAUUGUAAGCUAAGAUAAGAAUAUAGAAGCGAAUGAUUGUUUUUGGUUUUUUUUUCAAAUAGUUAAAAAACCUAGGGACGUGACCAUAACCUAUGUGUUCGCCUAAUGGGUUAAAUACGUUAAUACUUAUUUUAUUGACUGGGGUGUAUUAUAGCUCUCAACUCUAUGUUACCCACUCAAUACCUCUCGGUCAAAGAGUGAUUUUGCCCAAUUUGGCUUUCUCAAGUCCAAAUGGAUAUCAAACAAAAUAGUUGAUAUGAGCUCAAGUCGGGUUCUUACUAUCUCUAGUUUGAACCCUUUAAUUAGGCUAAUCAAACUCUUAAUUAACCCAAUUCCUUGUUAGCCAAGUUAUUUGCAACCAUUAAUUCUAAAAUUGAAGCAUGAACUAAUCUAAAUAAUCAACACCCAAUCAUAAAUAAGCAUUAAAUUAAGUACCAAUAAGGUUUACACACUAAGGUUGGGGCACAACCCUAGUAGGAAUCUAGCUACUCAUAGUUAGAAUUGAAAAAAAUAAAGAAGAAAUAUUAAUUAAACCCAUAAUCAAAGAUUAAAAUGAUAAAAAAUGAUGUAUAAACAUUAAAAUAGUCACAAACUUCCUAAAAUGGCAAAAUGUAACGGUUACAACAGCUCAAACUUCGAAACUUGACCUAAAAAGUGAAACUCGUCUAUUUAUAGUGGCCCAAAAUUUGCUGACAAAAAUGCCCCUCGGGAGGUUCUGCGGUGGCAUAAUUCCAUGUGCGGUCCGCAGAUUUCUUCAGUUGGCAGGAGCUUAGAUUCUGUAGCUGCACAUUUCUAGAUUGCGGUUACGAAGCAUCUUCUGCAGGCGCACAAUUCUUGUGCGGACCGCACUUCAGCAAGGCUUCAGGACUUGGUCUUUUGCACACUCUCUGAACUUGAAAUCAUUUGUCAGUGCAGAUCAUGUUCUGCGGCCGCACAAUUCAUGUGCGGUCCGCACAUUGGCCAAACUCCUGUUGCGUUCUUUCACUUGGUUUGCGGCCGCAUAUGGAAUUCUGCGGUCCGCACUUUCUUUUGCGGACCGCACUUCUUUGAUUUUGCGCUCUUUAUUGCCAUGUGAUUUAGAGCACUCCUUUUUGAGUCGAAUUUCAACAUGGGAGACCAAACUUCCAACAUUCCUAAAAUUUGCAUAUUUUAAUUAGUUUUGAGAACAUAAAUCAAUACUUUCGGACUAAAACAAAAGCAAAAAUGCGCUAAUAAGUAGUCAAAAUUCCUACUUAUCAGUCAGGUCGGGAAUUGGGCCAACAGUUGGGCUGGUUUUAAUUUAAUUGAUAGCCAAUUUGAAUUUAAUUGUGCAAUUUAAUUAGAUAAUUUAUUUUCUAAAUUAAAAACUAUUUUCGAAUUAAAUCAAAUAAUAAACGAGUCAAUUAAAAACCAAAGGUUAAUUUGUUUUAAUUAAUUGUAAAACUUAUGUUUCAAAAUAUAGAGGUUGUUUUAAUAAUUUCAAAAUAGUAAAGGUAAUAUAUUUUUUAUAAACAUUUAAUACCGAAUUAUUAAUUAAGAUUAUUAAUUACCUAUUUGUGUUAUAUUUGUAUAAAAAUAAGUAUUAUUGAUUAGAAAAUAUUGUCAACACAUUUAUCGCAAAUCAUUAAGUAAAAAUAAUUUAAUUUUAAAAGGGAGGGUCAAAAUUGGUCGUCAACAGCUACCCCUCUUUGACCAGAGACGAUGAAAGAGUUUUCGGGCAAAGAAAUCGAACCAAAACCAAUUUUUUCUCGACUUUAGGCAUGUAUUUUAGGAAUGACAUAUGGAUUUGAGGAAGAUUAUGAGUUGUAGGACUAAGAAAAGGUUAAGGAAGAUUUUAGGGGAACUUUUGGGGAAAUCGGGGCCGAAUUCUAGCUUUGAAUCGCCUACACACCUUGGGCUUAAUGAGGAUCAGGCCUCAUAUUGUUCUGGAAUGAUGAUUUAGAGAAGGCGACGCUUGCAGGAAUUGCCCCAAUAUCGUAUUAUGAUGAUACUGCAAGACGGGAAGAUUUUGUCACCUAGAAUGUUUUCGGAUUGCAACUUGAUUAUGAGACUUGAAAGAUUUGAUGAUUUAGAGUUCCACUGAUCGUAUUUGAGUUUAAGUUCGGAUCCUUGGCCGCUUAUGAGUUUGUUGUCCCUCAUAGCAGUGUAGCUUGGUUUGCUUCUUUGAAGAAGUUCCACGUCAUGAUGUUUGAUCCUGCAAAAGCAAAGUACACACAUAUCCAUAUAUCGUAAUGCAUAUAUGAUAAGAUAUGAUGUAAAUGAUGCAGGAAUGACGAUGCCUGGCUGUCGGAUAGCCGUUAUUUGGGGCAACAAGAUAUUUGAAUCUGAAGUCUCCGAGCUAUGGAGCAUUAUUUGGGAUGCCGGGGAUAGGCCUUUGAAUUUGACUUGAUUGUUGGUCGGGCUGUGUACUGUUUCGCAGUUGUUGGAGCAUUAAGUCUCUACACGAUGGGAGUAUCUCCACGUGAUGGGAGUAGUUGACUUGAAAUGUAAAAUAUCUCCGCACGAUGGGAGUAUCUCCAUGCGAUGGGAGUAGUUGACUUGAAAUGUAAAGUAUCUCCGUACGAUGGGAGUUUAUGACUUGAAAAAUGUAACAUGCCUAUAAGCUGCAUGAAUAAAACGUCUAAAUAUUCAAGAUAAAAUAAAAAAAUAAGGAGCAUGCCCAAGAGAUACUCUUGAAUGCAAAACUAAAUUGUGAUCAUCGAUCGGCAGAACAUAUGGCGGGAUCGGAUGGUUCGUCCUUUGAUUGGUGAAGUUGGCGACGAAGUUUGAAACUAUCUACUUGGAAUCUCCCAUAUGGAGGAGUGACAGUGUGAUCUGUGUGAAGUGAUCUAGUUGGCGAAGCGAAUAGUUUGCUAUAUACAUGGCUUAGAUUGGCAAAGCUCGCAACUCGAUUUGUACAAGGCGCUCCGAUUGGUUGAGAAAACGAUUUGCUAUAUACAUGGCUCUGAUUGGCAAGGCCAGCGACUCAUUUUAUACAAGGUGCUCCACUUGGUUGAGCAGACGGUUUGCUAUAUACAGUGUGCUCCGAUUGCAUCAAAGGCUUGGUUCUAGAAUACCUACAAAGAAUUUAAAGGUAGUCCUUAGUCACAUAUGGAAAUGAGUUAAAUAAUGAAAGAGAGAUAAAGGUUCAUGAGAGAGUAGCGGGUCCGUCAUUGUUCCGAGUGUGCCCUAACACUCUUCAUCUCAUAUCGGUCCAGCAGUAAAAAAAAUCAUAGUGGAGGGGGGAGGGGGGUUGGUUUGUAUUGAUCGCAACCCUGGCCUUGCCCCGGAUCUGGUGAGAUUAUGCCACAAAGUUUGGUAGGUGGAAUAAUAGUUUUCUAGAAAACAUUUUUUUUGAAAAAUUGUUCAUUUUCAUGGCAAAUGCCGCCUUUCCGGAUUAUGACAUGUUUAGAAGUUCCCUUCGACGCGAACGUUAUUUCUGGAUGGCUCUAUCCCGUUGAUGUCGAUUUCUGGAGAUGCCCUUGGUGAUGUAGAUUCUUGCUAUCGCGAUUGUGUCUUAAUCUAUACGAAUACAUUACAAAGGUUUUCUAGGGUUAUGACCCAACCUUUUCAGUUUGCCUACGUAUCCGAACAGAAUCAGGUCUGAACGUAGUUCUAGGGUAAUAAAAUGAUAAAUGAAUUAUGAUGAUGACUAAGCCUAACUCAGACAGCCUACGUAUCCAAAUGGAAUCAGGUCAAAAUGUAGUUCAAUUACAAUAGAUGCAAAGUGAUAAAAAUUUGAAGUGAAGUGGCCGAAUAUUACUCAGAUUGCCUACGUAUCCAAAUGGAAUCAGGCCAAAACAUAGUUCAAUUACAAUGGAUGACUGAAUCUGAUGAGGAGUACCUACGUAUUCCCUCCAAAGCAAAUCAAGUCGUGGCGCAGUUCCGAGUACAUAAAAGAUGAUAUUUGCAUUUUUAUUACAAAAAAGGGAGGGAGACCAGACCCUACAUGGGUUUCCUACGUAUCCCACUAUGGAAAGUCAGGUUGGACGUAGUUCUGUUUGAACCAACCCCUAAUUCCACUGUCUUCAAAUAUAGUAUCUCUUGAUUGCAUCUGAGUUGAUGGGCUUCGUGAUGAAUCUGUCAUCCUUUUCUGCUAGAAUCAAUGCUCCUCCCGACAACAUUCGAUGGACCACAUAAAGGCCUUUCCAAUUUGGCGCGAACUUUCCCUUGGCUUCUUCUUAAUGAGGGAAUAUUUUCUUCAAAACCAACUGCCUCGGUGUGAAUUGCCGAGGUUUCACCUUCUUGUUGAAUGCACUGGCCAUCCUAUUUUUAUACAGCUGACCAUGGCAUAUUGCAUCCAUUCUCUUUUCAUCAAUGAGCAUAAGUUGCUCCUGUCUGACGUGUAUCCAUUCUGCGUCAUCUAACUUGGCUUCUUGAAUGACCCUCAAAGAUGGUAUCUCGAUCUCUGCGUGUAACGACCUGAUCAGUCAUUUUGAGCAUUUGCACUUUGCUCGGUGGUUUGAGGGCAUGAUUUGCUUCAUAUGAUGUAUUAUGACUUGUGUGAAUCAUCAAUUUUGGUUUUCAGGUAUUUCAGAAUUGAUUUGGAAGAAUGAUUUUCAACUAGGAAGCUUUAAGUUGGAAGAGUUAACCAAGUUGACUUUUGUGUACUUGGCCCCAGAACCGAGUUUUGAUGGUUCCGUUAGGUCCGGAUAGUGAUUUUGGACUUGCAGAUUUGCAUUUGGAGAUUUCUAAAAGGUUUCGGAACUAUUUGGCAAAGAUUGGAAAUUUGAAAGUUUUGAAUGUUCAUAAGUUUGACCAGGAGUUGAAUUUGAUGAUAUCGGGUUCGCACUGUUGUUACAAAAAUUAGAAUAGCUUCAUUAUGUCAUUUGGGCCUUUUGUGCAAAAUUUGAGUUCAAUCCGAGUUGAUCUGAUAUGGUUCGGCACGUGUUUUGGAAGUUAAAAGUUCAUUAAGUUUGAUUCGAGGUGCGAUUCGUGAUUUUGAUGUUGUUAUGCAUGAUUUGAGGCCUCGAGUAGGUCCGUGUUAUAUUUUAGGACUUGAUGGUAUAUUCGGAUGGGGCCUGGAGGGGCUCAGAUGAGUUUCGAACGAGGUUCGGAUCGUUUUAGAUCAUUUUGGCUAUGCUGGUUUGGCUGGGGAUAUGGUAUGACCGCACCUGCGGAGCUAUGGGCGCAUGUGUGGAGUCAGAAAUGUGGAAAAAGAGUCGCUGAAGCGGAAGUUAUAGCCUGGGAGCAGAGUCCAUAGGUGCACAUAUUUUGGCGUGGAAGCACGUCCACUGAUGCGGACAUUGUGAUCGCAGAAGCGAAAAUGGACGGUGGGCGAGAAGGUGGCAAAUGCGAAGUGCAGACGCAUCUGCGGGGCCGCAGGUGCAAAAACUUUAGUGCAGAAAUGCAAUUGCAGAAGCGUGUUUUGGUGUUGCAGAAGGGACAAGUGCUGGGUUGAGGCUUUCUCGCAGGUGCGAGUGUUUUACCGUAGAAUCGGAGGUCGCAUGUGCGACUAUUUGUUCACAUUUGCGAUAUGACCGGACAAAAGCAUAUAAUAUCGAGGGUUUGUUUAUUUGGUCAUAUUUUGAGUUGGAGAGCUCGGAUUUGGGCGAUUUUGGAGGUGAUUUUCACCACAUGGAAUGGAUUAAGUGUUCUAUACUUGAUUUUGAUUAUAUUUAAUGAAUCUAUCUUCGUUUUUGGCAUGUGAUUAAUGAUUUCAAAAGAGAAAUUAAGGGUUUUUGUCUAAACUCCUCUAAAGUGGAUUUUUAAGUUUUGAACGUCGAUUCAGAGUCAGAUUUGAGUGAAAUUAGUAUGGUUUGUCGGAUUUUGUGAGUUUUAUCGGGUUUCGAGGUGCGGUCCUGGGUUUGACGUUUUGGUUGACUUUGGGUUUUUGAUUAAAUAUUCAACCUUUAUCGAUUGGGUUUUUUUCCUUUAACAUUAUUUGAUGUUCUUGAGUUGCUUUUGGCUAGUUUCGAGCCGUUCGGAGGUCGGUACGCACUGGAUGGCAUUUCUAGCGUAUUGUUUGGCUUGCUCGGUAUUGGAUUUGUCUUGUUCAAGGUAAAUAAAACUUCUAAACUUGGUGCUGGGGGUAUGAAUCCCUGAAAUACGUGUUAUGUGGUUGGUGUUGAGGUGAUGCACAUGCUAGGUGACGGGUGUGUGGGCGUGCACCGCAGAAAUUGUGACUGUUGAUUCUGUUGUACUGUGUAGUUGUCUAAUCUUGUUUCUAUCUAUGAAAUUCCUACGUGUUAGAGUAAUUGAGAUGUGAUCCAUGUUAGAAAUCAUGUUUAGGCUAUAUACUUAUUAUGUUGGGACCCACUGAGGCCAUUUCUAUUAUUGAGUUAUUUGCUUAAAUUGCAAUUACAUACUCAACCAUAUUCAUUCAUUUGCAUAUUAUAUCUCAAUCUUUGUUAUCAUUUGUUGUCACAUCAUGUUAUCAUUGUUUGGGCUGAUUGACAUGAGAUUUAUGAGCCCGCGAUACUGGAGAGAUUGAUGACUGAGUUGGGGCCUGAGGCCUGGAUUAUGAGUGAUGUUUAUGGGAUCGAGCUGCACGCCGCAACAAGUUUUAUUGAUUCAUGAUGGGAUCAGGCUGCACGUCGCAACAUGUUUUAUUGAGUCAUGAUGGGAUCGGGAUGCACACCGCAGCAGGCUAUGUUGGAUUAUAUUAACGCUUGGGCAGGAUCUUCCCCUCCGGAGUUUGACAUACCAGCAAUGAGCGCAGGUGCCGAGUGCCGAGUGAUUGAGUGCUGAGUGAUUGAGUGUCGAGUGCCGAGUGAUUGAAUGUACCAAGUUAUUUACAAAUCUGUUUAUGUAGCUUUAGAUUUACAAAUCUGUUUAUGUACAUUUCGAACAGAUAAUGUAUUUAUUUCGUACCAGCUUUGUAAACUCUAAAUCUUAGAAGCUCGUGAUUUGUACUACCAAUCAUUGGGAUUCUUGUAUAAGAGAUCAGUUAUUUCAUCAUUUGUUAUCUCAGUAAAUCUUAUUUGAAUUGUAUUAUGGUUAAUUGGAUUACUUGCGGGUUGUGUUAGAUUCCAUCACGACUAGUUGGACUUUGGGUCGUGACACUGCAGGUAUCACAGCUUCGGUUCCAUGCACCACCAUAUAUGGUGUUGCCCCGGUGGAUGUUCUCAUGGUGGUCCGGUAACCCAAUAAAACGAAGGAUAAUUUCUCGUGCCACUACCUGUGAUUGUCCACUAUCUUUCAUAAGAUCCUUUUGAUGUUUCUAUUGGCUGCUUCAACUGCUGAAAUCCAUAAUGCAAGAGUAAUAUAAAUAUAAACUUGAUUGUUUUUCAAACUAAAAAAUUGAUAUUACAAGUCAAAAACUUAUAAUAAUAUGCUAGAGGGAGCAAGCUCUAACCAAUUCUUAAGAGAGGGAGUGAAUUAUUUCUCAAGUGGUAGUGUAGUGUGGUUUUACAAGUGAGGGAGGGGGAUAUUUAUAGCCAAAAACUAAAAACAAGAUAGUAUUUUCUAAUGUCAUUGAUGAUUUCAUUAGCAGUAAGUGUUUGUUGAUGUCAGUUGUGUGAUGUCAAUAUGUUGUCAUACAGAUGUAAUCCCUGAUUAUUUUUUCAGAAAAUUAUAUUGAGGUCUUCUUCUUCUGAUGAUGAUGAUGAUGAUUUUUCAGACGAAGAUGCUCGACAUAAUCGACUUGGAAUUUCUGUCUUGAUUUGUUCAAGAAGUUUUUUCAUUUGCUGGAUAAAAUCAAGCUUGCUAUUGGAACUGGCUAGGUGUGCAGCAACCAUGGACUUUUGGUGUAAAAUUAAAUUUGGGCAGCAUCUGUUAUAGCAUUCGUCUACUACUGGAACAUAGGCUUCAGACGGAUCCCAAUUUUUAUACCACUUUUAAUUGCCAAAAACCAUUCGUCUACUACUGAACAUAGGCUUCAGACGGAUCCCAAUUUUUAUACCACUUGUAAUGGCCUUGGAGGUUUAAUCACGAUAGUCCUUUUUAUCCUUAUGGCUUGUGGAAGGGAACCUUCUAGGAGUAGAUCCAUGGGAUGUAAAAUCUAUGGAAAAAUUGGAGGAGUAUGAGUAUUUGUUGCUCACUAGAAAACCUGUGGCAAAAAUAGUCAUAUCUUUCUUUUACUGGCGAAGAGAGAACUUCAACCUUAUGACCAUAAGUAGGCCACCAGUGAUGCAUAAACCACUGAGGGAAUUCAGAGGUUAAUUGUUUAGCCUAGAGGAUAAACCAUGAAUGUUUUACAAGUUAGUUUUGGAAGGUGAAAGAAUUCAUCCAUGCUUCCUGGUAGUCAUAGUAAUUAUAAAGUUAUGGAUCAAAAGGCUGAGAAAGCUUUUUGUACUUAGCUGGAUGUGUUCGCCAUUCUUUUGGUGAGAUUAUUUUGUUAAUCCAGACCGUAGUAUAUGUGACAUAUGACUCGGUCUGCUUAUCUUUGUGGAGUUAAAUAAGUAGAAUCUGGUGUCUAUGAGAAUGAAAUCAUAGUAUUUUUGGGUAUAGUUGUGAGUUUUUGUAUGCAAUUGGCUGAAGGGCUAAGUACUAGGCCACACCGUAGUAUAUGUGACAUAUGACUGGGUCUGCUUAUCUUUAUGGAGUUAAAUAAGAAGAAUCUAGUGUCUGUGAGAAUGAACUCAUAGUAUUUUUGGGUAUAGUUGUGAGUUGUUUGUAUGAAAUUGGAUGAAGGGUUAAGUAUUAGUCCACAUCGUUAUAUAUGUGACAUAUGACCGGGUCUGCUUAUUUUUGUGGAUUUAAAUAAGCAGAAUAUGGUGUCUGUGAGAAUGAACUCAUAGUAUUUUUGGGUAUAGUUAUGAGUUUUUUUUGUAUGAAAUUAGUUGAAGGGCUAAGUUUUUUGUAUCCUCGGAGGAGGAGCCUUUACUUGAAGAAAUAGGUUAUGGCACUGGUGAAGAAAUUGCCUGAUUGGGUGCCGAACGCAUUGUGCUUGUGUUUUAUGGGAUGUUGGAUAGACACCCAGUGCAUGCAAUUGUGCUUUUAGCCUCUACUAAUUUUUGUGUAGUGCUUUUAGAAACCACAGGAUAUAAGGAGGCUGCGUGGCUUUUGGCCGCCACGAGGUUGGAAGAAGAUGUGUGGCUUUGUGCCGCCACAUUGGAACAAUAAUUUUGAUACAAAUGAUACUGAUCUCUCAGUUGCUUUCUGAAAAGGUCAAGCAUUGUCAUUUGAUCUUUGAAUCCUAUGAGUUGGCGCCAAUGCACGAAUUCUUCAUCCGACCAAGGAGAAGACAUGAUCUUGGCUAGUUUAGUUUAAGUGUCACGACCCAAAAUUCACCUAGUCGUGAUGACACCUAACCCAACUCGCUAGGUAAGCCAAAUAAUAGUUACGCAAUUCCAUUGAAUAAUAAAUAAAAACUUAAUAAGUGAAAUAAAUGAAUUCCCAUGCAAUAACCCAAGGAUUGGUAGUACAAGUCAUGAGCCACUAAGACAUAGAUUUAUAAAGAUGGUAUGAAAAUAAACAUAAUUCGAAUCUAAAACUACCAAGGACAUGUGGUAGCUAUAUCCAGAAAACCGGUAAAGCUUCGGUGCCAGCUUCUGUCAUCCUCAGCAUCUCAGCUCCUAGAUCUGCACGCAAGGUGCAGAUUGGUAGUAUGAGUACAACCGAGACCAUGUACUUAUCGUGUAUUAUAACUAACCUCGGCGAGGAGUCAGAUAACUUUCUCAUAAGAAAAGGUAAGGACAUAAUGAGUUAAACCAUGAUUUUUGGCCUUCCACCCGUAUUUCAGGGACGGCUCUUUCCACGAGCGGGUUUCGGGCGUGGUAACGUCCAAAAGCUUCUGAACCCAUUAGUCCAGGCCCUCAACCCUAGGGGGAACCCACCGAGCCGCUGUGGCAAGAAACGGAAAAAAAAAGUUAAUAAUGAUGAGGAAAGGAUCUUUAAUAAGGAAAGAAACAGAUUGUAUACUUACGAGUCCGAUUCCUCAGUUCCGGGAAGGAAGGAGCCGAGUCCGGGAUGAUGUCACCGGUGGCAACUGAAGCAAACCGUUCCAUCCACCCACGGUCGUUAUCAUCAUCCAUGCUAGAUAGCAAUGCAUGGUGGCCCCGCUUGCUGAAGUUGAUCAUCCCCCCUUGGAAGAUCUUGGGGGAAUAAAGGUUCAUCACAUGAGCUAAAGUUGGCUCCUCCCCUGCUUCCUGGCACAGGCGCCGAAGUCAAGCAAUCUUCCUUCACACGAAAGGACUCACCUAUGCCAAACACACUUGAUAGCAAAUGCAAAACUCUUCAAUGAUGGAGUCAAGCUCUCCACUCAGAGAAAAUGUCCCCAAAGUGAAGGGAUACGUAUAGAAGUACGUAAAAUCCCUCUUGAGUAAGGUUACCUACUCUGCAAGGUCGGGAGCAAUAAUGUCUAGGUCCUGGCAACGACAGUCUUCCUUCACAGUAGGAAUGCUGGAAGGGAGGAUGGAAGAAGGAUACCAGCUAACGGUCCAUGUACGAGGGCUAACUGAAGGAAAUUUCACUUCGAAGUCUUUUGUUGUAACAAAACUUCUAGGGAUGAUGGUGGUCACUGUUGGAUGAGCAACGUCCUCGGCUUUGUUCUUGUUCUUUGAGUAACCGGUAUUCUUUGAAGAAAAGCCAUUAUAUGUUACGGAAGAAGAAAAACUUUUUCGUUUGAAGAGAGUUAAAGAAAGGUUGAAGAAUAGGAUACAAGUUGAAUAAAGAGAGUUUUAGAGAGUUUGGAGAGUCAUGGAGUAUGAAUGAAUGAGGUUGAUGCGUAUAAGUAAAGGUUUAGGCGCCUAAAUUCGUGGCUAUGAUAACCUCGAUAACCGGCAGAAGUUAUGCUGAAUCAUGGGAUGAAGCGUGUUCGGGGUAUUAAAUGCGGAGAGACGUGCGUCUAUUCAACCGUCAGAAGCUUUUCAGAAGGAAUCAUAGUAAUUCCCGCCAAAAAGAGUAUUUCUACCAACUUUUCGGUAACACAAAGUUAGGGGAACUAUCUGUAUAGGGUAAAAUAUGCUAUGCUAAGUGGCCGCCUAAGAGAGUGACACGUGGAGCCUAAGGCAGGGAUAGUUAAAACCGAAGGCAAUUGUCCCGUUUGUUACCGGAAAGAAUGACACUCGUAAAGAUGCAAUAAAUACCUUCUGUCCGAUAGCAUUUAAUGGAGAAUAUUCCACAACCUUUAGUGCACUGUCUGUUACAGAAAAUUUGUCAUUUAUGCUCACUGUUACACCAUCUUCAAUGAUCCUCAUAAUUGACAUUGAAGAGGGGCAUGAUCCUAGGACCUUGUUCCCUAGGUGCAGCUAUAAAUAGUGAGUUCUGUUAUCAUUGUGGAAAACUUACGCUAUAAUCGAUUCAAAACUUUAUACAAUUUUAUCUUCUUAUUCCUUGAUUUCAUUACUGUUGUGCCCGGAAGUUGUACUCCCGGAAUUACUGUUUGAGCAAUUUUAUCUUCACUUCAAGGCUAAGUAUUGCGUAUUUCUUCAAUUAUUUUAUUAUUUCGGAAUCGAAUUAAUUCACUUGUCUAGAAAUCACGUAUAAAUUCAACUGUACCGUUUUACGGGUAAAGAGUUUGGCGCCCACCGUGGGACCUAGACAGCCGUGUAAUUAAGUUGAUCCUUGCCACUUUUACCAACAUGUUUUGAUUAUUUGUCUUAGCAAAAAAUCACAAAAAAUGACAGAUAAUGGUGUUAACAACACGCACAACCUUGUUCCCUAGGUGCAGUUAUAAAUAGUUAGUUCCGUUAUCAUUGUAAAGGACACGACUUUUCUAGAAAAAUUACGCUAUAAUCAAUUUAAAGAUUUAUACAAUUUUAUCUUCUUAUUCCUUGAUUUUAUUGUUGUUGUGCCAGAAAGCUCUGCUCCCGGAAUUACUGUUUCCGCAAUUUUAUCUUCAAUUCAAGACUAAUUAUUCUUUAUUUCUUUAAUUAUUUUAUUAUUUCAGAAUGAAAUUAAUUCAUUUGUAUAGAAAUUACGUAUAAAUUUAAUUGUACCAUUUUACGGGUAAGACCGGAAAGCAAAAAGUUGACCGCAAACUUUUACUAAAUUGAAAAUUGAUUCAUGUCUCUGACCGGAAACACGGACGGCAACAAGAAUGCUAUCGCCAGCCACGAGCGGUACCUCAAACUCCAAAUCUCAAUUGAGCUCCACCAACAACAAAUAGAUAUUCGACCAAAUUUGAGUCUAGAAACCAAAUCAGAUGCAAAAACCGAACAGAUCCGAAGGAGUACACAAUUUUGGAUCCGUAGAGCAAAACUAGAACCAAAAAUCUAAAAUGUUUUGAUUUUUUUUUUUUUUUUGGGUUUAAUAAACAAACUAAGAUUCAAACUAAAAAAUGGUUUGAACUCAACGAAAAUCAGAAGCAGGACCUCUCGUUUUUUUUUUUUUUUUUUUCUGAAUGAAAGGAGCCCAAAAAGGAUUUUCUUUUCUCACCCCCUUUUUGCUCCUCCAGCCUUUUCCUCUGCUUUUUAUGUCCGUCUCCCUCUAUCCUUUUUGCCAAAAAAUGCUCUCUCUAUUUUGGACCCUUCCCCCCGUUUUUAUGACUGUCUGUGCGUCCAAUUCUUAAGAAUCAAGAAAAGUUUUGUCCCCAAAAUCAUGUGGUCCCUUUGAAUUGUCACGUGAGGUUGUUACAGAGGGAUAAAAAAGAAUCUUUGCUAGGUGUCAUUUCUUCAUUGGCUUUCUUUUUCUUUUUGAUUUUGUUUUUAGUUUUCUUCAUUUAAUUCAAAGCAACAAAGCUAAAAUUCACUACUAAUAAAUUCAAAUAGCAAACAAAUAUUCCAAGUGCUUCAAAUUAAUAGGAAAUAUUAAAAGAAAAAUAUAGUAACAUAUCAACUACUACUGAAUAUUUACUAAAUCCUAUGAAUUAAAAUUUUCAAUAAAGCUAUAUAAGAAUUUUUUUUUUUGAAAAUUUUCUUUUUAUCCUUUGUAAAAAUAAAAUAAAACUAACUAAACAAAAUAUCAAUAAUCUAAAAUAAAGAAAAUAUUUUUGUAGUUUUUAGUUUUUAAGAUAAAAUAAAGCAAAAAAAGUUUAAAAUAGUCAAAUAGCGAUAUUAGGCCUAAAACCAACAUUUAAGCACUAAAAGAUAUAAAAUUUCGAGGAGGGUCAAAAGUUAUACAAAUCCGCUCACAUGUCUCAAUGUACAAAAGUAUCUCACCGUAUUGUAAUUAUAUCAACUCGCACGGUAUGUACCGUUGUGCCAUAACUCAGCUCAUAACACUAUAUCCAUGUGCAGAGAUGUAUUUAUAUACGUAUGAGAUAAUAUGUGAAUGGUGCGCAAGGGCAUAGGAGUAAAUAUUCAGAUGUAUGCUCAGGAGAGAAAUGUAUGACUACGGCUAAAUCAAUUAGCUCAAUAUAUCAAUAAUGAAUCAUCAUGUCCAAAUAAGAAAUCAUAAGCCUAGACAUGCUCUCUAGCAUCAACAAGGUUGCCCACGUUGUCAUACAACUGUUUAAAACUGACAUGAAUAGAGCAUGUAAUGUAUCGUGUCAAAAAUAUCCAAUUAUGAUCAACAAGGAACCUCGAGCCUAACAUAUCUUCUACCUGAUUAAGAGAGCUCAUGUAGUUAUACCGAUAAUUAAAGCAUAUCACAAGUAAAGCAUACACCAAAAUAAGGCAUAACAAAACCUAAAAUUUAUCCCAGCAUAUUAUAACCUUGGUGCCCGCAUAUACGCUCGUCACCUCGUGUAUACAUAAUCCCCAAAUGCUUAACAUAUAACACAUCAGUCCAUGAUAGAAAAUAAUUUCCUUAAGUCUACUCUAUUCUUCAAAAUCCACCUUUUCUACCUUCGAAUCCAUCAACAAGCCCAAUUUUGCCCAUACAAUAUUCGACAGGGUCAAACAAAGCUAUAAAAACCAACUCCAAACGAUAAAGUUUCAAUCUUUAAUCAAAUCUCAAAAGUCAAUAAAAAGUCAAUUCGAGCCCACGCGGUCAAAAUCCGAGUCCAUGGUCUGAUCCCGUUGACCCAUAACCUUACGGUCAAAAUAUGUAACUUGUUUCCAAAUUCGAGGCAAAAUUGGUAUUCAAAACCUCAAAAUCUUUUUUUAAAAAAAGUUUUGGACAAAAAUCUCAAUUUUCUCUUGUUCAAUCCCAUAUUUUGAUGCUAAAUCUAGUGAUAUUCAUGUAUAAACUAUAUAUAUAUAUAUAUAUGUUAGAAUUACUUGCCACAAGCUUGUAGAUGAAACUCCAACUUCAAUUCUCUCAAAACCGAGUCCAAAAGUUGAGAAAUGAAAGAAAAAUCACAAAACUCGACCUUAAAUAGCUUCCGGAAGUUGCUGUCAAAAAUGGUACCCAGGGGCUUUAUGUUGCACAUGCGGGGCGCAGAUUUCACAUGUAGUCCGCAUGUCCCUUCGUAUGUCCAAAAUCUGCACUGACCCUCUUUGAGUAAAAUUGUCAUAACUCCUUGAAAAACGUUGGAAUGAUGAAUGGUUUAAACCACAAGAAACUGAACUCAAAGAACUACAAUCUCAUCAAAUCUCAUCCGAUAAUUCCUUAUAGAUUGAGAGAUAUGCUCUUUUAAAGUCAAGUCGACUACAGAAAAGCCUUGUUUCAAUAAUUUAAUUCUUUCAAAACUUUCCUCAAAUGCGCUGAAACUCACUCGAGCUCCUUGGAACUCCAUCCAAUCAUUUACACAAGUUCAAAUAUCCUAUAUAGAGUUGUCCAAAGGUUCAAAAUAUCCAAAGGCUCAAAAUACCCAUAUGAAUAUCACAAUAAAGAAUCGAAGCUCAAACCAAAUAAAAUUUCUCUGAAUCACACUUAGGCAAUUUAGAUUACUUUCAAACUUUUCACACAAGUUCAAUUCAAGUAUAUAGACCUAUCCAAAGUCUCAGAACACAAAUCGGAUUCGAAUAGCAUCAAAGUCAAGUCUUGGUCAAAGUUAUGAACUCUUAAGUUCUUCAUAUUGAUAACUUUUGACAAAUAGUGCCGAAUUCUUGUAGGAACAUCCAAAACCCAAUCUGAGCAUAUUUACAAGUUCAAAAUCAGCAUAAGAACUCACUAGAACCAUCCAAACCCUAUUUUGAGUUCUUGAAAGUCGAAUUUUAGUCAAUUCUUCCAACUUAAAGCUUCCAUUUAAAAACUAAGUAUUCCAAAUCACUCCCAAAUCUCGUGGAAUCAAAAUCACCUAUACCUGCAAGUCAUAAAAUAUCAAAUGAACUUAGGGGAAUUCCCAAAUUAUGGAACAAGAUGCUAGAAUUCAAAACAAACGGAUAAAAAUUACAUUCAUGAAACUGUUGUCAAUUGGACUUUACACCAUAAAAUUAUUUGUCAAAUUAUUAUUAAUCAUUUCCAAGGCUUGUACAACACCGAGCUAUUACUAAGUCAACAUUGACGCCUUGUUCUUUCCCUCACUUGUCUUAUCCCUCAAGAAUCAGCCGCACUGGAUAAUCCCCUUACCACAGCUGAAAUCUUUAGAGCAGUUUACUCAUUCUAGCCUCAGAAAGCACAAGACCUGAUAGUUUAAAACCUAUCUUUUUCCAAAAUAUUGUCCAAGCGCACAAUUAGCUAUAAGUAAUGUUUGUUUUUAUGCUUUCUCCACUAGACUUCUUACCCCAAAAAUUAAUCAAACGUAUCUAACCUUAAUUCCAGAAGUCAAGCACCCAGAACAAAUCACUCAAAUUCGUCCUAUUGGGCUAUAUAACACGAUUUACAAAAUUAUUACUAAUAUUAUCAUCCACUGUAUCUGUCCUUAUCUUAUAAUAUCAUUAGCUCUCACGAAAGCAGCUUCAUCUCGGGUAGACAUACUGCGGACAAUGCGAUCAUUGUCCAAGAAGCUACUCAUUCAUUCAAAUUAAAAAAAUAAAUUACGGGACAUAUGAUGCUAAAUAGAUAUUGAAAAAGCCUUUGAUCGACUAGAAUGAUCCUUCAUCCAUUCCUCAUUGUCUAGUUUCAACUUUCCCCCGCCUUGAUUACUCUAUUUAUGAAUUGCAUCACCACUUCUUCCAUCUCCAUCCUUAUUCAUGGUAAACCUACUCCCUUUUUCUCUUCAACUAUAGGAAUUCGUCAAGGUGAUCCUUUAUCUCCGUAUAUUUUUAUUAUUUGUAUGGAGACCUCACCAGGAUCAUUAACUUAUAUGUUACACACUAGCAUUGGAUCCAAUCAACCUAUCUAGAAAUGGUCCAGAACUACUGCGCGAUCUUAUUCUUUUUUCUAAAGUUGACAUAAAAAUGCCUCUAUUAUUAAUAAUGUCCUUCAACAGUUUGGCACUAGCCAGUCGAAAAAUUAAUAACUCUAAAUCAAAUUUUUUUUUCCCAAACACUCCUUCAUUAAUGCAAGAUUCUAUCUCAGACAUCUUGAAUAAGCAUACCUCCCUCAAUGUUGAAAACUAUUUAGGCUUUUCCAUCACUAACUUACAGCCUACUAGUAGAGACUAUCAUUAUAUAUUUGAUCGCAUGAAUGCAUAUUUUAUGGUUGGAAAACCAAAUAUCUUAAUCUAGCAGGACGCACCUUCUUACUAAAAUUCUUCCUUGCAGUUAUUCUUACCUGUGCAAUGCAAAACAAUAUCUUGCCACAAAAAGUUACAAAUCACAUUGAUAAAAUCUAACGUAACUUCAUGUGGGGAAAUUCUUCUCACAAGAAAAAAGAUUCACUUAGUCAGUUAGGAUAAGGUUACCUUACCCUACACCAAAGGCAAACUAGUAAUUCAAAAACAAAAAGAAAAAAAUUAGCCCUUAUUGCUGAAUUUGCUUGGUGAUUUUGCCGCACCCCUCAAACACUUUGGGCUCGAGUCCUUUCUUUCAAUACCCUCUAUCCCUCACCAAUGACAUACUUAUUAUAUAGGGUAAAAUAUGCUAUGCUAAGUAAUUGCAUAAGAGAGUGACACACGCAGCCAAAGACAGAAGAUAGCUAAAACCGAAGACAGCUGUUCCAUUUAUUACCGGAAAGAAUGAUGCUCGUAAAGAUGCAAUAAAUACCUGCUACCUGGUAGCAUUUAAUGGAGAAUAUUCUACAGCAUUUAGUAUACUGCCCGUUACAAAGAAUUUGUCAUUUAUGCUCACCGUUACACAUUCUUCAAUGGCCCUCAUAAUUGACAUUAAAGAAUGGCAUGAUCCUAGGACCUUGUUCCCUAGGUGCAACUAUAAAUAGUGAGAUGUGUUAUCAUUCUAAGGGACAUGAAUUUUCUCGCAAACUUACACUAUAAUCAAUUCAAAGCUUUAUACAGUUUUAUCUUCUUAUUUUUUGAUUUCAUUACUGUUCUUCCCGGAAGCUUUGUUCCCGGAACUACCGUUUCUGCUAUUUCAUGCCCAUCUCAGGGCUAAGUAUUACAUAUUUCUUCAAUUUUUUUAAUAUUUCAGGAUCGAAUUAAUUCACUUGUCUAGAAACCACGUAUAAAUUUAACUGUACUAUUUUACAGGUAAACAGUUUGGCACCCACCGUGGGGCCUAGACAGUCAUGUAAUUAAGUUGGUCCUUGUCUCUUUUACUAACGUAUUUUGAUUAUAUGUUCUUAGCAAAAAUCACAAAAAAUGGGAGAUAAUGGUGUUAACAACAUAUACAAUCUUUAGGCCCAAGGAGACCAACCUCAACACGAGGAUUCAAUCAGUGACACCCGCAAUGAGAAAAAUGAUGCUAAGCCGGUCCAUGGUAGGCACUACCCGCGACAUGUUCGGGAGGCGACUCCCGAUUAUGCUGAAGAAGAGCAUGUUGUUGAAGCGAUAAGGGUCCUGCAGGAGAAACAAGAGGUCAUUUUAGGCCAUCUCACACGACAGGAUAAGGUUAUGACAGAAAUAAAGCUGGCGUUGUCGGGUACUUCCAAUAACACAAAUGGACGAGGUCUAGUUCCUCCCAGCACUCCCGCAAAUCAAACAACGCAGAGGGUCGACAACAACACCCCGAGGGACGAGGUCGGCUUCGAUGGGGCCGGGGGAGCGAUUCUCGUCACAACAACGAUAGUGAACCCUUCAAAAGCGAGCUCUUACGAUUUAUGAGGGAAGUGAACGCCUGCAUGGACCAAAUCCCGGGUGCACCACAGGUGCUGAAAGGGCUGGACUCAAAGAAGUAUACUCAGUUGCCGUACAAACCAAGCGCGACACCAAAAUUAAUCCUGAAACAGUUUAAAAUGCCCGACGUGUCGAAAUAUGAUGGGACAUAGGACCCUCAAGAGCAUAUUACCACCUAUACAACAGCGGUGAAGGGGAACAAUUUAGCUCCCCAUGAGAUUGAAUCUGUUUUGCUGAAGAAAUUAGGAGAGACUCUCACGAGGGGAGCCCUGACGUGGUAUUCACUAUUUCCCAAGCAUUCCAUAGACUCCUUUGAGAUGCUCGCGAAUUCUUUUAUUAAGGCCCAUGUCGGGGUCAGAAAGGUGCAGGACCGAAAGGCCGACAUAUUCAGAAUUGCACAAGGAGAGUCCGAGUUGCUAUGGAAAUUCGUCACCCGGUUCCAAAAGGAAAAAAAAGUUGCUCAUGGCGGUUCCGGAUGAAUGGGCUGCUGAAACACUCAUCAAGGGUCUGAAUCCGAGAAGUUUUUAUGCUUCCCAAAAAUUGAAGGAAAGCUUGCUUGAGUUCCAAGCGACAAUUUGGGCAGAUGUUCACAACCGGUACAAGUCCAAGAUAAAGAUUUAAGAUAAUCAGAUUGGCUUCCCGGCGUCGGCAAAAGGUCGGGAGAAGAAUAAAGAAAAACCAAAAGACAAUUUCAACACAGAUAGAUGGUCUUCGAGGGGCUGAUUUUUGCCCUACGAAUGGGUUGAAGGAUGUGGCAUAGGUUUCCGGUCGGCAGACAGGUUUGUUACCAACAGAAGAACUGAUCGCGGUCGGAACAACAGAUCAUUGCAGGAUAAAGAAAUAUCAGGUUCUCGGGAUCCUUCCUAUCCCAGGCUAUUAGAAUACAACUUCAACGUCAGUGUAGUAGAGUUAGUAUCGGCUAUGAGGAACAUUAAAGAAGCACGGUCCCUUAAGCAGAUGAGGUCCGAUCCCAGCCAGAGGGACCCCGAUUUGUGGUGCGAACACCACGGGAUGAAUGGCCACUGGACUGGGGACUGCCAACAUCUGCGUGAAGAGGUGGCGACACUACUGAAAAAUGGCCAUCUCAGGGAAUUAUUAAGUGACCAGGCCAAGAACAAUUACGGUCUCUACCGUGAUAAUGCAGAGCCCUCAAAUAAAGGAGAAGAUCCCCAAUUCCAGACGAUCAACAUGAUCUUCGGGGGGAACGAGAUCAAUGGGGUUACCUUCUCUGCAGCAAAGAAGAUGAAGGUAUUAAUAACCCAUAGCAAGAGACUCCGGGAAGUCACUGAAGACGACAUCACUUUUACGGAGGAGGACGCAGACGGACUGUUGAUACUGCACAACGACACAUUGGUAAUUUCUUUAAAUAUACUAGAUUUUAAAAUCAAACGUGUUCUUAUGGAUAGAGGAAGUUCGGCCAAUAUCAUACAAUGGAGGGUAUUAGAGCAAGACAAACUUACCGGAAGCAUAAUUCCGUCCACAAACUCCCCGCCGGAUUCAACCUCGCAAGCGUGACAACCCGAGGAGAUAUCCUGUUGCCCACGAAUUCGAAGGGGUGUUAAAGACAACCCUUUCGAAGUUGUGGAUGGUGAUAUGAGUUAUAAUAUUAUUCAGGGAAGACCAUGGUUGCACGAGAUGAGAGUCGUACUAUCAACAUAUCACCAGUUGCCGAAAUUCCCAAACCCGAAAGGAUUAAAUAGAUAAAUGUCGACCAACCGGUGGCAUGGGAGAUGAAUACAAUUUCGGUCUCCAGUAGCAAAGGGAAGGAGCAUGCGGCAUAGCAAUUAAAGGAACCGGCGCCUGUCCCCGAAUCAAGUGAAGUUAGCCAGGGGGAAGAAGCGUCGGAAUCUUAUCAGGUGCCAAGAUACUUCCAGGUACUAGAAGAAAUGGAUGCAACAAAGUCCACAGUGAAAGAGCUCGAGCAAGUUGCACUAUUUGAAAAAUUCUUGGAGUGGAAAUUCCACUUAGGGACAGGAGUACACCCCGAGCUCAGGUUUGGCAUUAUUUAAAUUCUUAAGUAUAAUGCCAAUUGUUUUGCGUGGUCGCAUAUGGAUAUGACAGGUAUCCCAACGGAAGUGGCCGUACACAAGCUAAGCUUGGAUCUUAACAUCCCUCUGGUAAGACAAGAGAAACGCUCUAUUGUGGAGGCCAGGAAUAAAUUUGUCAAAGAAGAGGUAACUCGCCUACUUGAUAUAUGUUUGAUCCGAGAGGUAAAGUAUCCGGACUGACUAGCUAAUGUAGUAGUAGUUCCGAAGAAGAACAAUAAAUUUCGCAUAUGUGUAGAUUAUAAGGACUUGAAUAAGGCAUGCCCGAAAGACUCGUUCCCACUGGAAAACAUCGAUCAAAUAAUUGAUGCAAUGGUCGGCCACGAGUUAAUGAGUUUCCUCGAUGCUUAUUUCGAGUACAACCAAAUUAAGAUGAAUCCGGAGGAUCAGAAAAAGAGUUCGUUCAUAACGUAUUUCAGCACAUAUUGCUAUAAUGUGAUGCCCUUAGCUAAAGAAUGUCGGAGCCACUUAUCAACAGCUCGUAAACAAGAUGUUUGAAAAACAUAUAGGGAAAACCAUGUAAUUUUAUAUAGAUGAUAUGAUUGUUAAGUCUUUGAAUGCAGGUGAUCAUCUUAAGCAUUUGCAAGAAACUUUUGACAUCCAAAGGAAGCAUAACAUGAAGCUAAACCCCGAGAAGUGUGCGUUUGGGGUCAGCUCUGGCAAAUUCCUAGGAUUUCUGGUAUCACAAAGGGGCAUUGAGGUAAACCCCGAUAAGAUCAAAGCCAUUGAAAAUAUCAUGGGCCGUCUAUCAAGUGUGAAAGAAGUUCAAAGGCUCACAGAGAGAUUGGCCGCUUUGAGCAGGAUUAUUUCCCGGUCAUUAGAGAAAUGCCACCGUUUCUUUGCGCUGCUCAAAAAGAAAAACAACUUUGAAUGGAUCCCAGAAUGCUAGCAGGCUUUGAGAGGUUUGAAAAGGUACUUGUCACGCCCUCCGUUACUAUCAAAACCAAAGGAAGGUGAAAUACUAUUAAUCUACCUAGCAGUCUCGGAGGUAGCGGUAAGCGCCAUUUUAGUCCGUGAGGAUGAAGGUAUGCAAUUUCCCAUUUAUUACAUUAGUAGAAUUUUAACGGGAGCAGAAACUCGCUACCCGUAUUUGGAAAAGCUUGCCUUAGCUCUCGUAAUCGCCGCUCGAAAGCUGAGGCCUUACUUCCAAUGUCACCCGAUAGCUGUGGUGACCACCUUUCCCCCGCAGAAUAUCCUUCACAAACCCGAACUCUCGGGUAGAUUGGCCAAAUGGGCUGUCGAAAUGAGUGAAUUUGACAUAGAGUAUAAACCUAGGAUUGCGACUAAGUCACAAGUUUUGGCCGACUGUGGCCGAUUUUAGUCCAGGAUUGCUGCCUCUAGCAAUCAAAGAAGCAGUGAUGGUGUCAUAAUCGAUAUCGGGAGUUUGGACCUUAUUUACGGACGAAUCUUCCAAUAUAAAGGGGUCCGGGCUUGGCAUAGUAUUAACCACACCUUCGGGAGAAACCCUAAGGCAGGCCAUAAGAACGGUCCCUUUAACUAACAACGAAGUAUAGUAUGAAGCUUUGAUUGCAGAACUCGAACUGGCCCGGGAACUCAAAAUGUGACUCCAAGCUGGUGGUAAAUCAGGUCUAUGAGAUCUUCGAAACCAAAGAGGAGCGCAUGCAACAAUACGUAGUGAAGGUCCAGGCUCUACUUGCUCGAUUUCGGGAGUGGUCGAUUAAUUAUAUCCCGAGGGAAGAAAAUAUAGAAGAAGGUGCAUUACCUAACCUCGGUUCAUCAACGGAAAUGAAGGGAUCAGACUCCGAGAUGGUAGUACAACUCAUGCACUCAGUUAUAGACACAGAUAGCUACUACGAGCUAAAUACGACUAAUUUGGUUUGGGACAGGAGGAAUAAGAUCAUCGAUUAUCUCGAGCACGGGAAGUUUCCCGAAGACUCCAAGGCGUCCCGGGCGCUGCACGCCAAAGCAGCACGAUACAGCUUCAAAGGAGGCCAACUGUACAGGAAAUCUUUCCAAGGCCCGCUGGCCCGAUGCUUCGGAGCGUCCGAAGCUAAUAAUGUUAUGCGACAAGUCCACGAAGGGAUAUAUGGAAAUCAUUCGGGUGCAGAUUCCUUUGUACUAAAACUAGUAAGGGCAGGAUAUUAUUGGCCCCGAAUGGAAUAAGACGCCAAAGCUUUCGUGAAAAAAUGCGAUGAGUGUCAACGCUACGCACCACUAGUACAUCAACCGACAAAACCAUUACAUUUAGUUCUAUAUCCAUGGUCGUUCAUGAAGUGGGGGAUGGAUAUCGUCGGACCACUACCGCCAUCCCCUGGUAAGGUAAGAUUCUUUUUAUUUUAACUGACUAUUUUUCUAAGUGGGUUGAAGGAUGUCCUUAUCAGAAGAUCGGCGAACGUGAAGUGAUGAAUUUCUUAUGGGAGAAUAUAAUUUGCAGAUUUGGAAUACAAUAAGAGAUAGCCUGCGAUAACAGGCCAUAGUUUAUAGGCGCAAAGAUCACAAAGUUCCUUGAAAACUUGAAAAUCAAAAAAAUCACAUUUUCGCCCUAUCAUCCGAUCGAAAAUGGUCAAGCAGAAUCAACGAACAAAGUGAUUAUAGAAAAUCUCAAGAAUAGGUUGGAAAUGGCUAAAGGUAAAUGGCCCGAGGAACUUCCUGGAGUGUUUUGGGCCUACUGAACAACGGCCAAAUCAAGCAUAGGAGAAAAUCCUUUCUCCCUUGUGUAUGGAGCAGAAGCCUUAAUCCCGGUGAAAAUAGGAGAGCCUACCUUGAGAUAUUUCCAGGCAAGUGAAGAGACGAACAACGAAGCAAUGUUAGUCAACUUGGAGCUACUCGAUGAGCGCAGGGACUUGGCACAUAUAAGAAUGAAAGCCCAAAAGCAAAGAAUGGAAAGAUAAUAUAAUCAAAGAGCCAACCUCCAUUAUUUCAAAGUGGGGGACUUAGUUCUAAGGAAAGUAACUCAAAACACCCGGGAACUCAACGCAGGGAAGUUAGGUCCAACCUGGGAAGGCCCCUACCGGGUUUCAGUUGCCACCAGGAAAGGUUCAUACGAGUUGGAGAAUCAGGAUGGAGAAAAGUAGCCUAGCUACUGGAAUGUGGCAUACCUCAAGAGAUAUUAUUGCUGACAAACAUCACCUAUACUGAAAGUAUGUGCUGCACUCUUUUUUCCUUCGUCCAGUUUUUAUCCUAAUUGGGUUCUUCUGGCAGGGUUUAUAACAAGGUAGCAACGGAAAGCAUACUACGAAGAAGGUUUCAACAGCACCAAUAAGACCUUUAAUAGCAAGGCACACNNNNNNNNNNNNNNNNNNNNNNNNNAAGCGAAGAACAACUCCGGAACGGUUAGAUAAUCUUUGGCUUGAUAGCAAAAUUCCCACCGAGAAAUUGAGUUUGCUAUCAAGCAAAGGUUACCCGACCGUUCACAAGUGCAAACCACUAUAGGAUUGUUAUAUAGUCUUUGGUUCGAUAGCAUAAAUUCCUAAGGGGAAGCGAAGUUUGUUACCGAACUGAAGAUUAUCUAGAAAUUCAUUAGUGGAAACCUCGAAUGUGCAAAACUUCCAGUGUUCCAAUUCGCAUUCUUCGCAUUUGAAUACUAGGGGGGAAUGAUAUGAGGAUACGACAACAAUGACUGCCACGUUGACCGGAAUACGAAAAUCGGAAACAUAGUUAUGUCAUCGGGACCGGGGACUGCGCAGCCAACCCCGUAGAAACAAGUUGUAUAAGAUAGCCACAAGAAAUGAUAAUUUCUUUUAAGCAUAAUGAAUGCUUAUGUACUUUUUAAAAAUGGAAGGAAUAAAGUAAAGUCCUUUUAUUUCUAUCUUGUUUCUUGUCUGAACGAUGAAUUGAUUUUAUCAUUUGAAAGUUAAACAAGUAUUUCAAAUGAUAGUGCCUUAAUGAACAAGAGACGUCCUCUUCAAGAUCACCGUAAACAUAAGAGGACCAUCUCUUAUAAAAACCCUCACGAUAAAGGGUUGAUUUCGGAAGAACUUGUGCCCGAAAUCCAAAUGCUUUUGGGGGAAAAUAUACACUAAAGGCCUUACAUAAUCUGACGCAAGCAUUAAAACUUAUGCAAAACACUUAAACAAAAAAGAAUGCAAAGAUUAAAACUUUUAUAAAUAUUUAGACGAAAAAAAGACUCAUGCAAUACUUGAGCAAAAGAUGUUUUUAUUCACAAUAAACGUGCCGAAACGACACAGAUACAAAAGUUGGGAAAAGAAAGGAAAAGCUAAACUACUGCAUCUCCGGAACCCGGAGGAAGAGAAGCAUCCACGCCCCCAGGGGAAGUGGGUAGAUCCGCCGAUGGCUCAACAUCUUGGCCCUCAUUAGUUUGGCCUUCAAUAUUUUUGCACUUCGGUUCCUCUUUAGUUCCCGAGGUUUCAAAACCGGAACAAGAAGAACCGGAAGCAUCAGGCCCUACCGGGAGACCCCUUUAGCAGUUGACUCUAGCUCAGGGGCUUUAGCGAUUUCGGCAUCAAAAUAAAUGAUACCCGCUUUAGCCUCUUCCAAGGUUUUUCUCCUCUUCCUAUACAUAACAUAAUUUUUUCAACAACGAGGGAAGCCGCUCGGUGCUUGAGUUCUUCUUUAAGUUGGUUAACCUCGGUAGAAAGAUAUUCCCAGGCGGAUCUAAUGGACUUGAGGCUAAUGGCGAGUUUGUGGACAGUAGAGCUCAAAAUUCUAUUAUGCUCAAUGGUAUUCUUAUACUUCUCCUCCAAUUGGGCAUAUUUCACCCCCGCAGCAACAGGCUCUUCAGUUUUGGAGUUCAUGGCUGCCUCUAGGUUGGUCAGUCUCUCAGCAGAGGCAGCCUUGCGAUCGGUUGCAGUAAGAACAACACUAUGAACUUCAACCCAUUUAGCCUUGGCCUCAUCAAAUUGAACCCUCAGCGGGCCAAUCUCUUGGCUAAGGGUUUCCACUUCUUGCUCACUUUGCUGCAAACGAGUCUCCAACACAGCGGCCUCCAUAACUUUGGCUUCCAAUUCCGAGAGGCGAGCAUCAGUUUGAUCCCGCUCGGUCAAAAGUUGAUCCCGUUUGGAGUUAAGUUCUUCUUUUUCCCGAAUCAACCUCUUGAGGCCCUCGAAAGUAAGGAAAUUGGCCUGCAAAAUAAGAAAGGCAAAUUUAGGAUAUUUAUUCAGUCAAAAAUAGGAGAAAUGACAAAGGAAAUGAAGAAUGUACCAAUGCAGCGUUGUGCAUGGCAUUGUUCAACAAACAUUCUCCCGAGAGAGUCUGUAUCAUUUUCUAAUCUUUUUUUGAAGCCAAAGGCUUCAGAUAGUUAGCAAGUUCCACCGACCGGGAUAGCAAGUUGCAUCCAGUAGAGAACGAGAGAAUACCGCUCCUCCUUUGCAGAUCUUCUGAGGGGGCAUCACAAUUUUGCCCCAAAUUCCCAUGAACUAGGGACUAGGGGAGAGGAACAUCCUCUUCUCGGACAGAUGCGGUCGGUGGAGAUGAUGUAGCAGUUGCUAGUGGAAGAGUUGGUGAAGAUGGAGAUGAAGCUGAUGGUGUUUGUUGAUGGCCCAUUUUGACCCUCCAUUUUAAAAUUUAUUUAUUCACGCUUAACAAUUUACAAUAAAUACUUAAAAAGUAUUUUCUAUUAAUGAAUAUUUAUUUUAUAAAUUAAUUAAGUAUUAGUUUCAAAAUUAAUCAUGUAGUACUGAUAUUGUGUAAUUACAAAUGUAUUUACUAUAAUAAAAAAUAACUUUUUUAUAUACAUUACAUAGGUUUUAUAAUUCGACAAAAUUAAUUCUUAAUUUCCAGUGAAUUAGGUUACUAUGUUAAUAUUUUAAAAUUAGUGCUAUAACUCAAAAUAUGUGUCAUUUAUAGAUAAUUAAUUAAAAUAAUUAGCAACAUAUAAUAAUUAUAAUUUUACCAUAUUUGUUUACAUUGAAAUUGUUAAGUUUAUUUAAAUUGAUUUUAAAAGGGUUAAAAAAAUAAAAGGCUAAAAUUACAAUUCCUUGACUAAAUACAAAAUGACUAUUAGUUAAAUUAAUUUUAGCCCAAAUACCAAGGACAAUUCGGAUUUGACCCCGUCCAAAUACCCCAUCUCAUUCCAAGUUGGCCAUCCAUGCCACUUAUUGCAAACCAAUGAGAUCGUGCCACCUCACCCUUCUUUAUCACUCACAAAACAAACACACAUGCAUCUGAACCGUUGAUCUAUCUGAUCAACAACUCCGAUUUAAUCCCUAAUUUUCCUUUGAUUUUUAAAACAACUGCCCAAAGACCCCAUCUCCACCGUUCACACCUCAGAAUCCAAUGGCCAUUAAAAUUCUUUCUAAAAAAAAAUCAUAAAUGCCCAAAAUUCUAGGCCCGUUGAUCACCAGAUCCAACGGUCGUUGUUCUGUUAUGAUUCUCUAAAGUGAUAAUCGAUUAAGUUAUUGAUAAUUGUUGAUCUUUGUUCCGAGUUUUCCUACAGUCUCCAUGCCUGAAUUCUUACAUGUUUAUGUUAAAUACAAACUUCAUAGUUCUCAGUGACUUGACUCAUCUCUGUCUUAUUGUACUUUUGUAAUUUGUGAGUUUUGGAAGCUGAGUUUACUACCUGAUAGUUAUGACUGAAAUGAAACCUGAACUAAGAUGACUUAUAUCCCCUUUCCUUUUAACCUUGAGCCUAAACUUGAAGUAUCUCUGCUUGUGUUUGUCCAACUAUUUUACUGAGUUACUACUAUGGUCUUUUACUUUGUUUUAGCUAUUAUAAUUGUUGAACCAAUCAUGCUUAUCUAAACUUCAUAUCUUUCCCUUCACUGAUGAUUUUGUUGAGACUUUAUCUUUUUCCAUGCACCUUAUUUGCCUUAUGGUUGAUUUCAUUAUUUGGUAACCUUAAUUGAUAUACUCCUGAAAAUUCAAUAUGUCCAUGUCACUUAAGUUGAAAGAAUUUAAGUGAUUAGAUACUUUCCUUCUCAACAUCUGUAUCUACUAACUCUGAGGGUGAUAUCUAGGCUAUCACUAUGACCUUUUCAUGAUCAUACUCAGCUGUUAUAGGAAACUAACUUAUUUGCAUCAAACUGUCUCCUUCUCAUGAACCCUUUUGUUGUACAUAUUCUGUUAAGGUUAAGCUAUUUUUCCCUUAGUGUAAGUCAUGAUUUGUUUGGAUAAAGUCAACUGAUAAUUACUGCAUAACUAAGUUUGUUUGUCCCGUAAUCAUGUUGAGAUCUUCAUAUACAUGUGCAAUUCAAAACUUGUGCAGUACAUCCUUGUCAUUAAUCUUUUGAGCCCCUUUUGAUUUUGUAAAGUUUACAUGCAUCUAUAUUUAACUUAUCUUCCAUGAAGAAAGGACUUAGACACUAUGUUAUAAUCAAGUGACCCUUUUAGGAGUUGAAGCAUGAUCACUUCAUACCUAUAUGCUAAACUAGAUUUAUGUUUGAGUUUGAACUUGUUUUGAUGCAAUGUUUUCCAUCUCCUUUCUUUACCAAUAUGUUGAUUUGGUUCUGUAAUUGGUCUAUCAUGUGUAAAGUUCCUCUACCUAUAUAAGAUCACUACCUCAUUUAUUUUGCCUAUGAACAAUUGACUGAAUGUUGCUAGCUUCCUUGCUUAACUCUGUAACACCAUGUUCUACCUUGAGUUAUGCUUAGCCCUCCUCCUUAUUGUUAACCUGAAGUUGAACUUGACUCUCAAACCUUAUGAAGCCCAUUUGUUGAUAUUAUCUGAACACAUUGACUUGCUAAUACUGUUAGAAGCAUGACCCUUUUGAGACCUUAGGGGGUGCCAUGUUUGAACCCUGUGAAUUUGUAGUCAUGAUGAGAGCUUAAUCCCAUGACCUUGAUAACGUCUCUGUAACAAUGGCUGACUAUGACUUUUGGUUUGAAUCUGCCUUGAUGUCUUUAAGGUGCCAAGUAACGUUAUUAAUACCUGCUUGAAUAUGUUAUAUGAUGACGUCCAAAUCUACUACUAAAAAAUAAAUGGACACGGUCGCAUGCAAUAUAAUUUACCCAACUAUGAGUCGGGGUCGAAUCCCACAGAGAAAAAUAUGUAGGCGAUUAGGCGUGUAAGAGAAUUAUCACUUAUUAUGCUAAGACAAAUAUUUAGAAAUAUUUUGAGAAAAUAUUUAUAACUAAUUUUGAAAAUAUAAACUAACCUAGAAAGCAAGUAAAAUGAUCAAAGGCUACAAGCAUGGAUGUAUUGGGAAUUACACUCAAGUAACGAUCCAAUGUAUUUCACAAUUUUAUAAAUAUGAGUGAGUUUAUGUUAAUUAGCCUCGGGUAAUAAUUCUAUAUUAGCUUCAUCCGAAGACUAACAAGACUUCCUAAUUGAAUUAUCCCUAAAAUAAUUAAGAGAUUAAGCACACCCAAAUAUGGCUACAAGUAGUUCAAUCCUAUCCCUAGGUAGAAUCUAUAAAGUGAGGGUUAACGGCUCAAGUUCUUGUUAAUUAAUCUUUUCCAACCCCAAAUUAUCUUUCCCAAAAUUAAUUCGAAGUGAAUGGGCGAGUCCUAGGGUUAGCUAAUCCCUUUGGAUAUAUUAAAGAACAAGAAUAAUUAAAGAAACCAUAACUCACUUUAUAAUAAAUCAAAAUCGUUCAAUACAUAAGCACAACAAGAUAUUUAAUCCACUCUUUAAAUAUGAAUAUUCCCAUAAACAAGAUUCAAGUGUUGGAAAAAAUACUACACACUUAGAUAUUCAAUACAAAGAAAGGAAAUGAAGAAAUGAACAUAAAGGAUAAGAAAUUCUCAACCAAAAGCUUCAAAUCUUCAAGACCCGAGUGUGUGUUCAAGAACCUAGCUCCUAAACUUGUGUUCUCUAGUCAAACGAUGUCAAAGAUGUGUAGAGAUUGGCCAAAUAUGCCAAAUAUGUGUUUCCAAUAAGCUAGGUCGUGUAUUAAAUGGUUUGGGGUAAAAAACGUGAAAUUCCAGAACUGCCCAGUUUUUCCGCCCAUUUUUUCUUCGCGUUCGCGAUAGUCCAUUCGUGUUCACGAAGGUUUGUUUCCUUCACUUACGCGUUCGCGAUCGUCCCUUCACAUUCGUGAAGGUUUGUUUCCUCCAGCUUCACGUUUGUGGACAUCAUUUCGCAUUCAUGAAGUUUUGUUUCCUGAAGCUCCACGUUCGCGUUUAUCCCUUCACGUUCGCGAAGGGUAAUUUACUAGGCAGUGUUCCUGUGUUCAUUUUAGCUCCUUUUCGACUUGUUUUCACUUGGUUUCUUCACAAUCACUUCUAAGUCACAUAAAACCUGUAAAAUAGAUGUAAACGACAUCAAACACAUGAUUUACUCAAUCAAACAUUACAAAAAUCUAAGAUUAACGAUGGGAUAAGUUGGUAAAAUACCAACUUGUCAUUAUGCCUUAAUGAUUCAUUCCUGCAAUGGUGUGAUUGUGAAACCUCCUUUUUUAUCUAAUGUGUAUGCUGAACUCAGCCCCCCCAUUAGGUUUCCUUGAUAUGUGUUCCCUAUUUAGUAUUAAAAGUAAUAUGUAUUCUCUUGUGCUAUUAUCAUUAAGAGGAAAGUAUAUAUAUUAUGUGGUAGGUAAUACCUUAGUACUUAGUUUGUAUUGGAAGGGCCUCAUUGGCACUUAAACCCGUAAGAAAAAUAUGUUGUCAGGGAUUAAGGGUAUUUGGGAGCGGAAUUCGAAUUUAGGUUGGGCUGCCCUCCCCGGCACAAGCAUUGCCCUGGGCCUUGAGUCCCUUGGGACCUUUGAAGUGUCGGGGAUCCAAAGGGAGCAUCGACCUUAAGUGGAGCUCCCUCCUUAGCUCCUAAUUCAGGGACACAUCUAGUUCUUUCUACCAAUAUCAUACUCAGGUAUACAAUAAGCAGUACUCUUUAUUACUAAUCAAAGCUUUUUUACAAAUAAUUGAUCCUAAACUUAGUCUAAAUCCUAUGGAGCUAUCUUAGGUAGAUUUUAAGGGAUUCCUAAUACCUUUCCCUUAGAAGAACAAAAACCCUUACCCAUAAUCUCACCGGUUAGCAAACUAAUAAUAAGAACAUGACUUAGUAAUCAAAUAGGUACCCUAGUAUACCUUUAAAUAUUAGGUGUUGACUCUCUUUCAUCAACAACAGAGAAACCACAAGUUGAAUCCAGUCUUGACUAGUACAAAAUAGGGUGCAACAACAUGGCGACUCUGCUUGGGAUGCACACCUAGAUUCUGACCUUAGCAGAUUUAGACUAAUUUGACUUCUAGAUUUAUUUGUACAUUGCUUUGAUUAUGAUCGAAAUUGCAAUUACAUGCCUUAUUUGCUCUUCACAAUUAUCUGCUCACUUUGCUAUAUUGUUGCUACACCCUUGUUUGUUACUGCUUUAUAUACACUGUCAUCACAUCUCUUCCAAUCGAGUCUUGGCCGUACACUAUCACACAAUGACACGCGGAGGUUGUCUUUUACACCCUUCCGAACCAUCUUUUCAAAAUUCUCUAGUUUCAGAGAAUGGCUUUGUCAGGUCAACUGACAUAACUUCUCGCAGUUCUCAGUCCAAUUCAAAAGUAGGAAACACUCUACUCUAGUAAAAUAGGUCAUACUGCAUAAACCCUAGGUGAGUUGGUCCCAGGUACCAACACACAAUUAGGAAAGCCACCCUGAUGUCAACGGGUCAUGUACCCAACGACAUAAUUUCUGUGGAAAGACAAACAAACAUGAUAAGACGCUUACGGAUCUGAAGCAAAUACUUACCCAAAUAUUUUUCUUCUACCCACCUCAGAAAAAAGGAAAUCAACCAGAACAUCCCUAAAAUUAACAUGGUAAUGGGAGCACCACAUAAGCUGAAAUAGUGGUGGAAGAAUAUCCGUCGGGAACACGAAGACGAUGUUCGGACGCACCUAGGGGCAUUAACUUCAUUGAUGAAAAUCCGAGCAGACAGAUUACUCACUCACCUGUUGAUAGAAUUUUGGGAUCCAGCUAAAGUGGUAUUCAAAUUUGCCGACUGUGAUAUGGUACCGACAUUGGAGGAAGUCACAAGUUUUACAGAGCUGCCAUUCAAAGGAAGAAAGCCAAUGCUUCCAGUUACUAUGCUCGGUUAUCGGUUCUUGGAUGCUCUAGGUCUUACCAAUUGCAGAAGCCUCAGAAGUAUCGAGAAUGGAUGGGUGAGCCUCGACCAGAUAUUCGAUAGGUUUGGGCACCGUGAAUGCUACGAGUGGUAUUAAGGGGAGUUCCAAUGUGACCAGGCGAUGUAGGAGAGUCUCCGGCCUAUCACUUUCGCAAUGGUACUAUUGGGAUUAUUAAUCUUCCCACAUCGAAGGGGUCGUAUCAAUAUCAACCUGUUACUAGUGGUCCUAGAAACCUUUCGCGGCAAUCUUCAAGCUAUUUUGGUGCCGAUGGUGUUGGCCGAGAUGCUGAGAGCCUUAUCCGCAUGUGCAUAGGGGAUACAAGUUUUUCAAAGUAUGCAACUUGCUGCUUCAAAUUUGGGCUACUGAACACUUCUUUCAACGGGAGGCCACUGUCGACUACUUUGUGGGUGUCAGUAAUAUGAUCCGCAACCAUAAUGAAAUAAUGAGACACUGGAUCUCCCCACAUGGGCAAGAAGAAUGGAGGGAAACACUGACCAAUCUAACAAGAGAAUGGAUCAACUGGAAACUCUCUUGGUUAGGUGGAAGAGCAAUCUUGAUAACUCCCCAAAAGUACUUCAUUGAGUUGAUCGGAUUAGAAGGCGUUUAACCAUACUCACCUCUGUGGGUCCUCAAACAAUUUGGCAUGAUCCAAGAUGUGCCUUUGUGGACAAGGACGGUGUUGUAUGAGGAUAACUACAACGGCCAGAGUUCCAAUACCCAGGAUAAGGAAAUUACAAGGAGAGUGGAAUGACAUGGUAACAAUGCCUAUGGGUCAAAAUUCAUAGUGCACCCCCGAGUACUAUGUUUGGAUUAACGUAGAAGAAGAACUGGCCUGCCCGAGCAGAGAGGGUAUAGCUUGAUUAGAGGAUGCGGUGGUUGCUUUGCAGAUUUACCAUGAAUUCCUGCCACAUUAUCUUGUGACCAUAUCAAUGCAUCGUCAGGUGGUCCCGGGAUCCAUUGACCAUAUGUUUCCAUUGGCUGAAGAGGAUGAUCGAGUAGUUGAAUGAAUCCAGAUAGAGUCAAGCACAUAACCACAAGAAGAUCUAGAAGAGAAGUCUCAAUUCAACGAUAAUGAGGAAGAGUUUGAGGAAGACCCGGAGGAAGAUCCGGAAGAGGAGCCAUAAGAAGAGAAGGGUACAUGAAGCAUCUCAGGGGAUGGUUAUUAGAAUUGGUUGAUUUCCCCUUCUUUCCUUAGUUAGUACCUUUAUCCCCAGUUCUCUCUUUGACUUUUCAAAAGGGAAAAUAUCUAAGCCGAUGCAACUCUAUGGUGUAAUCCUUGUUCCCGUUUUUAUCAGUCCAAAUUAUCAUUGAAAACAAAUUACUUUAGAUCUAAAUGUGUUAAGUCUAAAUGUCUGUCAAACAUCCGCAAAUUAGGCCUACCUCCGGCAAUGAGAGGUCCUUGCGAAUUUUAGGAACACAUUAGUUUGUAAUGCACGAAUUGCCUGCUCUAUGUGAUUUUCUGCCCGUAUAAAAUGAAGAGACUGACUCUUGCUCUUUUUCUUUUCUUUCUUCUUAUUUUAUUUUGCUUUAUUAUUACCCCCCAAAAAAGAAAAGAAAGUUUGUUUGCGUCGACUAAACUAGAGGAGCCACCAUAAAAUCUAAGGUCUAAGGGAAAGAUGUCAACUGCAGAAGACGCAACUGAACAUGCUCUGGUCGUAGCCGAUCGCAAAGGGCAAUCGGGGGAAAAGGACAGCACUAGAAAUGAUGAACACGUGGCCAGGAUGGCCCAAGAAAUGGAAUCCUUAAGGGAGGAGGUACAACAUAUCAAAGAAUUAGCUCACCUAGCCGUGACAACACUACCCCAACCACCUAGAUUUUUCACGCCCCAACCUCGGGGAGCGCGACCGGUGCUCAACCGAGAUGACCCGGUCGAGCAAGCCUGCUAGAUUUCCUACUACCCAACUCACCCAUAAAUAAAGAGAAGGUNNNNNNNNNNNNNNNNNNNNNNNNNCUUUCUAUAAUUGAAGUGGAAUAUGUAAUACACAUACGACAUUACUAUCUUGACCUUCCCAAUAUCAAUAAACAACCCACACCAUGUCUAUGGAGCCUCUAAUAGAUAUAAAAGAGUACAAUGAUAGUGCCGAAAAUAAGGCUCCGGCUAUACCUCAAAACAUAAUACACAUACAACAAAAGACGCACGACCCGAAAUGAAGUGGGGCUCACCAAGCUGACCGGGAAGAGAGUGUACCGCUAUCACUGGUUAAUGCCCUCCGCUGUGGAAUCACCUUCAUCCAUUAAAGAUGCAGCGCCCCCGAAAAUAGGGACAUUAGUACAUGUCGAAUAGUACUAGUAUGAAAACCAAACACCUAUACAAGGACUUGGAAAUACAACAUGAAUAUGAUGAAUCAUGGUAACAAUAAAAGGCUUAGUUAGCCGUUAAAGCCAUAGCAAAUUUAUUAAGAGCUUUCAAUAACAUUUAUUAAUUCUUAAGUCGGGGAUCCUCUACAACUACCUUUACAAAAAGCGGCCCUGCCGCCUCACCCCAAUGUAUGCGGGUGGAGGUGCAAUCACAAUACCAGAAACUUUACACAAAGCAGCCCUGCCGCCUCACCCCAAUGUAUGCGGGUGGAGGUGUAUUUACAAUACCACAAACUCUACACAAAGCGGCCCUGUCGCCUUAUCCCAAUGUUCCGAAAAUCCUAGCAACUUCGAUCUAUUUAGAGACAUAGAAAAAUUGAACACAAAUUAGGAGGGAGUUCAUGGUUCCAGCUCAUUUAAGCAUUUUAUCAAACACUAGGUGGGUAUUAUGAGUUCAAGGUCUUCUUAUGAAGGAUUCCUCCAUUUCACUACCCAAAGUCUACCCAAUUGAGCUCAACAAUCUUCCCAUAACCCUAGAUAGUAAUUGCAUGCAUAAUGAACUGCUCUCACACCCAAACAUUUCUUGGCUUAUUACCUAUUUUCAGUUAAAUCUCGAAAUUGAAGGCUAGGGCUAGAAUCUUACCUUUUUGGUUGAAGACCUUGUGAGUUACCCUUGUGAAAUCCUCAAGGCUGCAGCAAAGAUUGAUGAAUAAUGACUUAGGAAUUCCUUUUCUCACUCUAGACGACCUUCCUCUCACUAGAAUAUAAGUUUGAAUCUUUUAAAAUGAUCCCUAAGAUUGUUUUAUUAGAAUAGAGCCGGGUUUAUAAAACCAUAAAGAUGAAGCUCCAAUGCAGAUCUGCGACCACAUAAUGCUUUUGCGGUCCGCAAAAUGUCCCCCCCCCCCCCCGGAACUGGGCAUUUCUGCCUCACUCUACGACCAGUCUACUGUUCGCAGACCUAUUCUACGGUCGCAUAAUAAGCCACAAAACUUCUCUCUGGAAAAUUACAUGUUGGGUCUGCGAUGGGUUGUGCGGCCCGCUAAAUGAUUAUGCGGCCGCAUAAUGGACUGCAUAAUAGUGCAAAAGCUUGCCCAGAUUUCUGCUUCAGUUUGUGGUAGAUCUGCGACUGCAGAUCAGUUCUGUGACCGCAAAGUGGACCGCAGAAAUGCCCUUCACUUCCAAAACUUUCCUUCAACUCCCCAACGUACUGUUCAACCCAAAAUGUCCGAACCACGGCGUCACGAAACUCUGGGUUUUAGGUGAAAUUUUUUGGAGCCUUACAUCCUCCCCCGCUUAAGAUCAUUCGUCCUCGAAUGAAGGUCAAAAUUCACUAUUAGCACCCAAUGUGACUUAACUGCUAUAACACACACCAAGAGUUCCAAAUUUUUGACUAACUCCCUAGAUUUCCAAAAAUUUUGCCAGAGUCUCCCUUGUAAUUGGGGACUAUCCACCUGCCAGAGAAUCCCAAAACCAGUCCUAACAACAUAACCACAACACAAUGAUAUAAAACAAUAGGGAAACAACACCGGCCACAAUGCCAUUAAACAUUACUUUACCAAGGAGUUGCAACGUGAACAUAAGCCGUACAGGGGAAACAUAGUUUAUAGAAAGUUAGCUUUCAACAUCAUGGACACGAUUACAUAGCUAUUCAAAUAAAUUAGGAUACUUCUUCUUCAUCUCUUCCUUGGCUUCCCAAGUGGCCUCUUCAGCUUGUUGGCUUCGCCAUAAUACUUUCACGGAGGCAAUUUCUUUGUUUCUCAACUUUCGAACUUGCCUAUCAAAAAUGGAAACUAGAAUUUCUUGAUACGUCAACUCUUCAUUAACCUCAAUAGUCUCAACCGGAACAAUAAGCGACGGUUCUCCAACCACCUUCUUCAACAUGGAUACAUGAAAUACCGGGUGCACUAAAGACAUCUCUAGAGGUAGUUCUAGCCUGUAAGCCACCUGGCCAAACCUUUGAAUAAUUCUUUACGGUCUGACAUACCUCGGACUCAAUUUCCCUUUCUUACCAAACCGCAUUACACCCUUCAUAGGGGAAACCUUCAAGAAUACCCAAUCAUCUUCUUUGAACUCCAAAUCCAUGCGACGCACAUCAAAAUAAGACUUUUGACGACUGUGAGCAGUUUUCAACUGUUCUAUAAUGAUCUUAACCUUCUCCACAACCUGAUGCAUGAGGUCCGACCCUAUCAAUUCUGCUUCCCCAAUCUCGAACCACGCAAUGGGAGAUCUACAUCACCUGCCAUAUAAAGCCUCGAAUGGUGCCAUCUGGAUACUAGCAUGAUAACUGUUGUUGUAGGCAAAUUUUAUGAGUGACAAAUUAUCAUCCUAGAUACCCCUAAAGUCAAGAACACAAGCUUACAACAUACCCUCAAGCAUCUGAAUAGUCUGCUCUACCUACCCGUCAGUCUGCGGGUGAAAGGCUAUACUAAGAUUCACUUGAGUACCCAACCCUUGCUGAACUUUCUUCCAAAAGUUAGCUGUGAACUGUGCCCCCGAUCAGAAAUGAUGGAAAUGGAGUGCCAUACAGCCUGACAAUUUCCUUAAUAUACAACUGAGCAUACUGUUCCGCUGUGUCAAUAGCCUUAACAAGUAAGAAGUAUGCUAAUUUCGUGAGUCAAUCCAAAAUCACCCAAAUCGAGUCGAACUUGUGAGGAGUGCGAGGUAGUACUACCACAAAGUCCAUAUUGAUCGUCUUCCAUUUCCACAUCGGAAUUUCUAUGUUCUGUGCCAACCCACAGGCCUUUGGUGUUCAGCCUUCAGUUGCUGACAAUUUGGACAUCUUGCCACAAAGUUCGCUACAUUCCUCUUCAUAUCAUUCCACCAGUAGACUUCCUUAAGAUCAUGGUACAUCUUUAUAGAGCCCGGGUGCACAGAAUACCUAGAAGUGUGAGCCUCGGUAAUGAUUCAUUCCCGCAGACCAUCCACAUUUGGAACACAUAGUCGCGCUUGGUACCUUAGUGUACCAUCAUCCAUGCCAAGAGAAAAGGACAUGGUCUUAUUUUUAUGAAUCCCCUCCCUAAAUUGUACUAACAAUGGGUCAUUGUACUGCUUUUCCUUGACUUCCACAACAAGCGAUGAUUCAACCCUAUUUUACACAAUCACUGCUCUUUUACUAGAAUCCGCAAGAUGAACUCCCAAACUAGCCAACCGAUGAAUCUCCUUGGCUAACGACCUUUGAUAUGCCUCAAAGUGAGCCAAACUACCCAUAGAUUUCCGGCUAAAGACAUCCGCUACAACAUUAGCCUUCCCCGGAUGAUACAGAAUAUCGAUAUUGUAAUCCUUGAGUAACUCAAGCCAUCUUCUCUACCUCAGAUUCAAUUUCUUCUGUUUGAAAAUGUAUUGGAGGCUCUUGUGGUCCGUGAAUAUAUCAACAUGGACCCCAUACAGAUAAUGACACCAAAUCUUCAAUGCAAAUACCACCGCCGCGAGUUCCGAGUCAUGUGUUGGAUAGUUCUUUUCAUGAUUCUUGAGUUGCCUAGAAGCAUAAGCUAUCACCUUGACAUGUUGCAUUAAUACACACCCAAGUAUGAUUCUUGAAGCAUCACAAUAUACCACAAACCCAUUUGUACCCUCUGGUAGGGUCAACACUGGUGCCGUAGUUAAUCUUGAUUUCAAUUCUUGGAAGCCCCUUUCAUAAGCAUCUGACCAUUGGAACUUAACCCCCUUCUGCGUCAAUUUAGUCAAUGGACAAGCAAGAGUAGAGAACCCCUCCACAAAUUUCCCGUAAUACCCGGUUAAGCCCAAGAAACUGCCAAUUCUUCACAGCUACAAUCUUCUGAGGAUCAACCUUAAUUCCUUCUCUGGAGACGACAUGCCCCAAGAAUGUAACAGAUUUAAGCCAAAAUUCACAUUUCGAACACAUCGCAUAUAACGUAUGUUGAUAUAGAGUCUAUAGAACUGCCCUGAGAUGAUCGACAUGGUCCUCUCGACUUCGUGAAUAUACUAGAAUAUCAUCAAUGAACACUAUCACAAAGGAGUAAAGAAAAAUCUUGAAGGCUCGAUUCAUAAGGUCCAUGAAAGUUGCCGGGGCAUUUGUUAGCCUAAAAGACAUUACCAGAAAUUCAAAGUGCCCUUACCGGGUCCUGAAAGUUGUUUUCGGAAUAUCCUGCUCCCUGAUCUUCAAUUGGUGAUACCCGGAUCAUAAAUCGAUCUUGGAGAAGUACUUAGCACCUUGCAAUUGGUCAAACAAGUCAUCUAUUCUUGGUAGUGGGUACUUAUUCUUGAUCGUGAUCUUGUUGAGCUGUCGAUAGUUAAUACACAUUCUCAGUGACCCAUCCUUCUUUCUUACAAAAAGGACCGGUUAACCCCAAGGCAACACACUUGGCCGGAUGAAACCCUUAUCUAACAAAUCCUUCAAUUGCUCCUUUAGCUCCUUCAAUUCUGCCGGUGCUAUUCUGUAGGGCGGAAUAGAUAUAGGCUGCGUGCCUGGCAUCACAUCAAUCCCAAAAUCAAUCUCCCUGUCUGGAGGGAUCCCAGGUAGCUCAUCCGGAAAGACCUCCGGAAAUUCAUUCACAACAGGCACAGACUCAAGUGUAGGUGCCUCAGCAUCGGUUUCCGUAACCCGGACCAAAUUGUAGAUACACCCUUUAUUAAUCAUCUUCGUGGACUUAAGGUAAGAAAUAAACCUACCCUUCGGUACCACAUCAUCCCCCUUCCAUUCAAUCAGUGACUCAUUUGGAAAUUCAAACCUAACGGUCCUGGUUCGACAAUCAAGCUUAGAAAAAUAUGAAUAAAGCUAGUCUAUGCCUAUUAUUACAUCAAAAUCAACCAUUCUCAAUUCAAUGAGAUCGUCCAGGGUGUCCCGACCAGGCACCGUGAUAACAUAAUCCCUAUAAACCUACGCGGCCAUAAUACACUCGCCAACCAUAGUAGAUACAGAGAAAGGCUCAUGAAGCUGUUCCGAUUCUAUCCCGAAUUCUAUAGCAGCAUAAGGAGUGACAUGAAAAAGUGCAACCGGGAUAAAUAAGAGCAUAUACAUCAUGGGAUUGGAUAGUCAAUAUACCUGUGACAACAUCUGGAGAAUCCUCUGGAGAAGCAUAAAAUCUGCUGGGUCUGCCCGACCUCUGUGCACCACCCCUAGCUGCACCACGCCCUGCGAGUGCUGGGGUGCCUCGAGCUGAAGGAGGUGCUGUGGAUGUAGUAGCUACAGAACUAGCUGGCUACACCGCACCUCUGCCCAUGAUCCGGCAGGAUGAGCGGUAAUCCCUCUAAAUGUGACCUCUCAUACCUCACCCGUAGCAUAUAUGUAGGUCCAUGAAGCAGACCCAAAAGUGCAUUCUCCCACACUUAGGGCAUGGGGGCCUCCGCUGCUCCUGGAAUAUCCCUCCACGCCAACCCUGCUGGUGGGGUCCCUUGUUGUCCUGACUGGGCCCGAAUGGUUGUGCACUCAUCGAAGACUGAGUGAAUGACUGAGAUAGCUCUGAUGACCCUCCCCUAAAUGCUGACCUACCACAACCACCACCGGCAGAACCACCCAAGUUGCCCGCGGUCUGGGCCUUGAUGCUACCCUCACGCUCCCUUCUAUGUUUUAGUUUACAGUCAUCUGUAGCUUGAGAAAACACCACCAUCUUCCUAUAGUUCAUAUCUGAAUUCAAGGCAGCUGUAGAGGCCUCAUUAAUAACCUACGGGCUAAGGCCCUGCACAAACCGGCAAACUCUAGCCUCCAUAGUAGGAAACAUAUGAAUAGCAUACUUGGAGAGGCGCGCAAACUCCAUAUGGUACUCCCGCACAUUCAUGCUACCCUGCUUCAGGCCCUCAAACUCAGUGGCACGGGCCACCUUAGUUUCGGCAGGCAAGAAAUGAUCCAUAAAGGCAUCGGUGAACUCACUCCACCUUGCCGGAUGGCUCCCCUCCUCACGGGACUCCUCCCAAAUCUUAAACCAAGAAUAGGCCACCCCUUUUACGCGGUAGGAGGCCAACUCCACUCCCCCUGUCUCAGUAGCACGCAUAACUCAGAGAGUAUUGUGCAUCUCAUCAAUGAAGUCCUGGGUUUCGUCCUUAGGAUCAGUACCUGUGAACACUGGAGGAUCCAACUGGAGAAAAAUAUUCACCCUGAAACUAGCGGAAUCCCCUGGCUGACUAGAAGAGGUGGGUGCAACAUUUGAUCUCUGGGCCUGGGAGACCACUAUCUGAGACAACAUUUGUAUGGCUCCCCUAAGAUCCCCAUCAGAAACACCGAGACCGGAAGCUGGAGCUGGAGGUGGAACUGGAAUAUCAGUCGGAGGGACCGUUGCACCCUCAGUAGGUGUAGGAACUGGUGUAGUCUGAGCAGGAAUAGUAGAUUCAUGCGGUGUAGUAAUUGGGGGAAUAUCCUCACCCCUUGGGUACUCACCCGCAUCAUCAAAUAUCAAAUCAACUGCCACUUCUGGGGUGACAUUGGCCCCUUGGCCAGUUCUUGCCUUCUUCUUGGGUGCCAUGUACUGAAAGUUAGAGCAAAGCACGAGUUAAAGGAGGAACAAUCUUACAAUCAGCUUUAUCGCACGAUCGAGAAUAUCAAAGAAGGGUAUUAUUCCUAAGUGACCAAGUAGCCUCCUAAUUAUAGAUGUGGUGGACAACACACCGAUAAGAAGGACUCUACUAGACAUGUAUCCGAGACAUCCUACGACACUUUAAAAUCUUAGGCUCUGAUACGGAGUUUGUCACGCCCGACCUCGGAGAGCACAACCAGCGCUCAACCGAGAUAACCCGAUCGAGCAAGCCUGAUCUUGACCUUCAUUUAUAAAGUCUCAAAAUACAUACACUUUCAUAGUUGAAGUGGAAUAUGUAAUACACAUAUGACAUUACUAUCUUGACUUUCCCAAUACCAAUACACAACCCACACCAUGUCUAUGGAGCCUCUAAUAGGUACAAAAGAGUACAAUGAUAGUACCGGCAACAAGGCUCCGGCUAUACUUCAAAACAUAAUACACAUACAACAAAAGACGCACGACCCCGAACUGAAGUGGGACUCACCAAGCUGACCGGGAAGAGAGUGUACCGCUAUCACUGGUCAAUGCCAUCCGCAGUGGAACCACCUUCAUCCAUUAAAGAUGCAGCACCCCCGGAAACAAGGACGUUAGUACAUGUCGAAUAGUUCUAGUAUGAAAACCAAACAUCUAUGCAAGGACAUGGAAAUACAACAUGAAUAUGAUGAAUUAUGGUAACAAUAAAAGGCUUAGUUAGCCGUUAAAGCCAUAGCAAAUUUAUUAAAAGCUUUCAAUAACAUUUAUAAAUUCUUAAGUCGGGGAUCCUCUACAACUACCUUUACACAAAGCGGCACUGCCGCCUCACCCCAAUGUAUGCGGUGAAGGUGCAAUCACAAUACCAGAAACAUUACACAAAAUGGCCCUGAUGCCUCACCCCAAUGUAUGCUGGUGGAGGUGUAUUCACAAUACCACAAACUCUACACAAAGCGGCCCUGCCGCCUAACCCCAAUGUAUGGGGGUGGAGGUGUAUUCACAAUACCAUAAGUCUACACAAAGCGGCCCUACUACCUCACCCCAAUGUAUACGGGUGGAGGUGUAUUCACAAUGCCACACUUCAGAUUCCCAAAACGAUAAUAGUUUGUGAAAAAAAGUUCCUUUUCAAAUCAACCAUUUGACACCUUUGGCCUUAGCAACUGUAAGUUCAUACGGUUUUAUCAUAUGAGAAAUAAGUGUUUAAUCACAUUGAUUUCAUACAAUAUCUUCUUCCCAAAAGGGGUAUAACAUAAUUAAGUCAAAAAUAGAGAAUCAUUAACACACGAGGGUUCUAACACGUUAUACCAAUCAAAAAUCAAUUUUUCUAGUUUGAAUGCCCCAUAUCAAUAGCGUUCCAUAUUCGAACUUCACACAAUGGAGUUCUGUAAGAAGACAUGAAUUCCAAUACCAGAAAAAGAGUUUAAUCUUCAUACCUCGCUUUGAGCUUUUCUUAAUUCACUACAUAGUUCCGAAAAUCCUAGCAACUUCGAUCGAUUUAAAGACAUAGCAAAAUUGAACACAAAUUAGAAGGGAGUUCAUGGUUCCAUCUCAUUUAAAUAUUUUAUCAAACACUAGGUGGAUAUUAUGAGUUCAAGGUCCUCCUAUGGUAGAUUCCUCCAUUUCACUACCCAAAGUGUACCCAAUUGAGCUCAACAAUCUUCCCACAACCCUAUAUAGUACAUGCAUGCAUAAUGAACGGCUCCCACACCCAAAUAUUGCUUGGCUUAUUACCUAUUUUUAGUUAAAUCUCGAAAUUGAAGGCUAGGGCUAGAUUCUUACCUUUUUGGUUGUAGACCUUGUGAGUUACCCUUGUGAAAUUUUCAAGGCUUGAGCAAAGAUUGAUGAACAAUGACUUAGGAAUUCCUUUUCUCACUCAAGACCAACUUCCUCUCUCUAGAAUAUAAGUUUUAACCUUUUAAAAUGAUCCCUAAGAUUGUUUUGUAAGAAUGGUGUAGUGUUUAUAAAACGAGAAAAAUGAAGCCCCGAUGCAGAUCUGCGGUCGCAUAUGCGAGCGCAGAAUGCUUCUACGGUCCGCAAAAUGGGCCACAUAAUCCCCCCCCCCCCCGGAACUAGGUAUUUCCGCCUCACUCUAUGAUAAGUCUGCGGUCCGCAUACCUAUUCUGCGGUCGCAUAGUAAGCCGCAGAACUUCUCUCCGAAAAUGUUCAUGCUGGGUUUGCGAUGGGUUGUGCGACCCACGAAAUGAUUAUGCGGCCGCAUAAUGGACCACAUAAUGGUUCAAAAGUUUGGCCAGAUUUCUGCUUCAGUCUGCGGCAGAUCUGCGGUCUGUAGAUCAGCUAGGAAUGGUUCCUGAACAUCCCUCCAAAUAUUUUGAUGCCACUAAGAGAUGUGUGUAUCAUUCAAAUGUAUUAGGCCACGAUACUGAAGACUGUUUCAAGUUGAAAAAUGAAAUUGAAACUCUGAUCAAGCAUGGAGUCAUCCAGUGCACUCCAGCAUCGCCUAAUGUGAACCGUAACCCAUUGCCAAAUCAUCAAAACCAGGGAGCCAACAUAAUCACAUUAGACGAAGAAUAUGACCUGAAGGAAACUAUUGUCACUAUAGGGAAUGCAGAAGCUACAAGGACCCCUCCUCAAAAGGCUCCCAUAAUUACAGUACAACUAAAGCCUACAGUGACAAUUCAAACUUAUCCAUAACAACCUGUCGAUGCUACUUAGGGUGAAGAAGACUGGGAAUACAAAACCAUCCUAUGGGCCUAUUAGCAAAAGGAAAAACCAUAAUGUAAGUCUCUACCGCAGCCCUUGGUAUGACUAGGUCUGGGUGAUGUUACGCCUCUGAAGAGGUCAAUUGAGGAAAUACGGGGAGAGAAACAAUUCCAAGGAGGAACAUAACAAACCCAGAAGCUGCAGAGUUUUGGAAAAGGAUGUUGAGUAAAGAGUAUUCUGUGGAAGAACAAUUAAAGAAAACUCCAGCACAGAUAUCCAUCAUGGAUCUACUGAUGAGCUCUGACCGCCAUAAGGAUGCUUUGUUGAAAGUACUAAGUGGGGUAAGUGUACCAAGUAGCACCACCAGAGAGGCAUUGUCUGCGAUAAUUGGGAAAAUGGUUGAAGCAAACAUGAUCACUUUUAGAAGAGAUGAACUUCCUGUCGAAGGCGCAAGUCACAACAAGGCUCUUCAUAUCACUAUCAAAUACGGGGAGAAAGUGGUAUUUCGAGUGCUGGUCGAUGAAGUAUCAGGGGUCAACAUUUUCCCGCUCUCCACCUAACGGGAGUUGGGAAUUCAUUUGAGGGAGGUCAAGGAAAGCCACGUAAGGGUUAGUGCCUUUGACAGUUCGCAAAAGGAUAUUAUUGGGGAAAUUUAUCUAGCCUUGCAAAUCGGGGCGGUCAACUUUCCAGUGCUAUUUCAAGUGAUGAACAUCUCUUCUUCGUACAAUUUUCUGCUAGGAAGGCCCUGGAUACAUAUGGCAGGGGUCGUGCCGUCUACCUUGCACCAAUGUACAAAAUUUGAGUAGAGAUGCCAGGAGAUCGUGGUCCAUGGCGAGUGGGGUCACUCCGCCUAUUUGGAGUAUGAUGUCCCAUUCAUUGAGGGGCUAGAUGGAGUCGCCUUCCACACUAUAUAAAUCAUGCAAACUACUGAGGAGGAGAAGACUGAACAUAAUCUAGGAAUGCAAUCACCGUACAGAUCCAAGAUGGCCAUGAGGGAGAUGAUGAAAUAUAGAUAUAGGCCAAGAACAGGGCUGGGAGCCAAGUCAAAUGGGAUCAUAGAGCCAAUUGAACACAAUGGGCAGAAAGGAAGGGAUGGCAUAGGAUAUCAGCCUCCGGAAGGGAAAACUUGCACCGUUAGCUACGGGAAAAAAGUUUUUGUACCAGAGCAUGUUGCAAGUUCGGGACAGAGUUCAACACCUGAAGAUGAUAUCAUCGACGAGAUGAGAAAGCUAUUCGUGAAUAUGAUUGAAGAAUGUUGUGAAGGAAAUGACAUCAAGACAUCGACUAUCAACCAGGGGAAGAGCUGCAGAAUUGGACACACAGUCCAUAUUUGGUUCGCCAGGAGUCUUGGUAGUAUGGAACUGUAAAAGUUUUCUUUUGAAAAAACACGGUCAAUUGAGGCAUAUACCGUGCAUGUACCUUUUUGUCAUUUGCCUCUUGUGAACGCUUAAGACGUUCCCCUUUUGAUCAAAUAAAAAGAAUCUUUUCCUAAAUAUUGCAAUUUUAUUUUUACUGCUUUAUUUAUACAUAGCUUUAUUUUUCCGUAAUCUAACCAAUAAAAAACCGCAUUCCACGAUUAUGACAUGUAACAAAAUUGCUGAGCGCAACGAUCCGGAUUACAAGGAAUAUGACGAGAGUAUGAUGCCAGACAAUAUCCCACAGGAGAUCGAACAACUGGAGAGUCAGAAGAAGCCAAACUUCUAAGAAACAGAAGUAGUUAAUCUUGGAAGCGAAGAAGACGUGAAAAAAACCAGAAUCAUCAUUCACCUAGAAAUCGAGCAGGAAUUGAGCUCCUCCGAUAGUACGUCGACGUGUUCAUGUGGUCCUCAGACGACAUGCCACGAUUAAGCACCGACAUUGUCUCGCUUCGAAUACCCACUGACCCUACCAGACCGACAAUCAAGUAGAAGCCCAGGAAGUUCAAACCUGAUUUAAGUCUAAGGAUAAAAGAAGAGGUGACCAAACAAAUAGAAGAAAAUGUGGUAAGGGUCACCAACUAUCAAAGCUGGUUGGCAAACAUCAUCCCAAUGCUCUAAAAGAAAGGAAAGAUAAGAAUAUGUGUGGAUUACCGAAAUAUUAACAAAGUUAGUCCAAAGGACGAUUUUCUCUUGCCAAAUAUCCACAUUCUUAUCGACAACUGUGCGAAGCAUGAACUACAGUCGUUUAUGGAUUGUUUCGCUGGAUACCACGAAAUCUUAAUGCACGAGGAAGACAUAGAGAAGACAGCUUUCACUACACCUUGUGGAGUCUAUUGUUAUAGGGUUAUGCCAUUCGGUCUCAAGAACGCCGACGCCACCUACAUGAGGGCCAUGACGACCCUUUUUCACGAUAUGAUUCAUAAGGAGAUCAAAUUAUAUGUGGAUGAUGUCAUCAUAAAAUCUCAAAAGAGUUCAGAGCACUUUGACGACUUGAGAAAAUUUUUCAAACGCCUGCGAAGGUACAGUUUGAAGUUAAAUCCAGCAAAGUGCGCGUUCGGAGUCCUCGCAGGAAAACUAUUAGGUUUUAUUGUAAGCAGGAACGGGAUAGAACUAGACCCAUCAAAAAUCAAGGCAAUCCAAGAAUUACCAACCACCAAAGAGCAUGAAAGAUGUCAUGAGUUUCAUGGGAAGAUUGAAUUACAUCAAUCAUUUCAUAGCCCAGUCCACGUUAAUCUAUGAACCUAUUUUUAAGCUGCUAAAGAAGGAUGUUGCCACAAAAUGGAUGGAGGAGUGCCAGAAAGCCUUCGACAGAAUCAAAGAGUAUCUUUCAAACCCGUCAGUGCUGGUUCCCCCAGAACCAGGGAAACCAUUAUUGCUCUAUUUGUCAGUCUUGGACAAUGCCUCCGGCUGUGUGUUGGGGCAACACGAUGAAACGGGGAGAAAGGAACAGGCCAUAUACUACUUAAGCAAGAAGUUCACACCAUGUGAGGCCAAGUAUACUUUGAUAGAAUGAGCUUGUUGUUCUCUGACUUGGAUCGCUCGGAAGCUAAGGCAUUACAUGUUGGCAUAUACCACGCAUUUGAUAUCUCGGCUCGACCCGCCCAAGUACAUUUUUCAGAAGCCAAUGCCUACCAAAAAGCUAGCUAAAUGGAAAAUUCUCCUCAGCGAAUUUUACAUUGUGUACAUAACUCAGAAGGCUAUCAAAAGACAAUUUUUAGCCGACCACCUCGCCGAGAAUCCAGUGGAUGAGGAUUACGAACCACUUACCAUAUAUUUCCCCGAUGAAGAAGUACUAUUUACCGGGUAAGAUAUUGCGGAAUUAUACCCUAGGUGGAGGAUGUUUUUCAAUGGAGUAGCAAACUUCAAAGGAGUCGGGAUUGGGGCAGUCCUGAUUACAGAAUCUGGAUAACACUAUCCAGCAUCGGCAAAGAAAAGAUUCCUUUGUACCAAUAAUAUGGCUGAAUACGAGGCAUGUAACCUUGGAAUCAGAAUGGUGGUCGACAUGAACAUCGAAGAACUUUUGGUCAUAGGAGAUUCCGAUUUGAUAAUCCACCAAGUCCAAGGAGAAUGAUCAACUAAAAAAGUCAAGAUACUGCCGUACCUGCACUGCGUGAAGGAGUUGUGUAAGAAGUUCACAAAGAUUGAGUUCAAGCACGUCCCCAGAAUUCAGAAUGAGUUUGUUGAUGCCCUUGCGACCUUAUCAUCUAUAAUUCAGCAUCCAGACAAGAACUGCAUCAACCCCAUCUAGAAAAAAAUCAUGGAUCAACAUGCCUAUUGCUUCCAUACGAAUGAAGAACCAGAUGGUAAACCUUGGUAUCCCGACAUCAAGAAGUUCCUUGCGACCCAAGAGUACCCAGAAAAUGCUACUAAUGGUCAAAAGCGAGCCCUUAGGAGGUUAGCAAACCACGUUUUCCUCAACGGGGAAGUCUUGUACAGGAGAACCCCAGACUUAGGUUUGCUGAGAUAUGUAGACGCUGCCGAAGCAACCAGACUGUUGGAAGAAAUACAUGCAAGGAUGUGCGAACCCCAAAUGAACGGGUUCAUGUUAGCCAAGAAGAGUUUGAGAGCUGGAUACUUUUGGAUGACUAUGGAAAGCGACAGCAUCUGCUAUGUACAGAAGUGUCACCAGUGCCAGAUCCACAGAGAUUUCAUCCGGAUUCUACCAAAUGCAUUAAAUGUAAUGGGUUCACCCUGGCCUUUCACCGCCUGGGGAAUGGACGUGAUAGGACCCAUAGAGCCUGCAACGUCAAACGGACAUCAUUUCAUUUUGGUAGCCAUCGACUAUUUCACCAAAUGUGUCGAGGCAUCUACUUACAAGGCCGUCACAAAGAAGGUAGUGGUAGAUUUUGUCCAGAACAAAAUCGUUUGCAGAUUUGGGAUACCAGAAUCUAUAAUCAUUGACAAUGUCACCAACAUCAAUAGCGACCUCAUGAGGGAAAUCUGCAAGAAGUUCAAAAUUGUCCACCGCAAUUCCAAAGCUUACAGACCACAAAGGAAUGGGCAAUCGAGGCAGCUAACAAGAAUAUCAAGAGGAUUCUGUGAAAGAUAGUGGAAAAUCACAGACAAUGGCACGAGAAGUUUCCUUUCGCUAUAUUAGGUUAUCGGACUACCAUGAGAGCAUUUACUGGGGCAACACCAUACAUGUUGGUAUAUGGCACUGAAGCAGUGAUACUCGCAGAAGUCGAAAUACCGUCCUUAAAGGUCAUUCAAGAAGCAAAAUUGGACGAUGCAGAGUUGAUACGCGUCAGGCAAGAACAACUCAUGCUCAUUGAUGAAAAAAGAAUGGAUGCAGUAUGCCAUGGACAGUUAUACCAUAACAGGAUGGCUAAUGCAUUUAACAAAAGAGUGAAGCCUCGUCAAUUCACACCGGGGCAGUUGGUUCUAAAGAAAACCUUUCCCCAUCAAGAAGAAGCUAAAGGGAAGUUUGCACCGAAUUGGCAAGGUCCUUACGUGGUACACAAAGAACUGUUUGGUGGAGCUCUAAUCUUAGCAGAAACUAAUGGAAGAGUCAGCACGAAGCCCAUUAACUUGGACGCAAUCAAGAGAUAUUACGCCUGAAGAUAGAUAGAGUUAGGAUUUUUGAUGCAACAGAACUAAGUUCAACCUGACUUCCCACGGAGGAAUACGUAGGCAACCUACGUAGGGUUCAGUUUCUCUACCCCUUUCUCUUGUAAUAGAAAACCAAAUGUCAUUUUUGUAUGUUGUUCAGGAACUACACCGACUUGAUUUCCUCAGAAAGGAAUACGUAAGAAAUCCUCAUCGGAUUCAGUCGUCUUUUGUAAUUAAACUACGUUCUGGCCUGAUUCCACUUGGAUACGUAGGUUGUCUGAGUCAGACUCGACAAUUUUCAUUUCUUAAUCUCAUCAUUUUGCAUCUGUUAUAAUUGAACUACGUUCUGACCUGAUUCUAUUUUGGAUACGUAGGCUGCCUGAGUCAGGCUCGGUCGUUUCAUCAUAUUUCGUCAUUAUCCCAUGAACUAUGUUCAGACCUAAUUCCGUUUUGGAUACGUAGGCAACCUGAAAGUGUUCGGUCAUAACCUUAGGAAACCUUUGUAAUGCAUUAGCCUUAAUUAGGACGCAGUCGCAACAACAAGUAGCCACAUUCUCAGAGACACCAUGGAAGAUCGACAUCAACGGGAUAAUGUUCUCGAAGAGAUAUGUUCGCGUGUGGAGAACCUUUCGUAACAUGUCAUAAUCCGGGACGACGACAUUUGCCUUAAAAGAAACAAGUAUUUUCAAAAUAUUUUCUAAAAUUAUAUAUAAAGUAAUCUGUUCUAUCUACCGAACUUUGUGGGGCAAUCAUGUCAAAGGCGGGGGAAAAUCAAUAUCAUGGUCGACGCAAACCAACUUCUGCCCCCCCUACUAAGAAGUUUUCUUUGAGUGCAGGGUCAACAAGAGUAAAGAAUCGCUGGGACCACACUAGGGCAAAUGAUGGACCCGCCACUUGCCUAAGAUUUUCUCUCAUCCUUUUACUUUAAAUUUUCAAGAACAACUAAGGCUAACUCUUGAAUCCUUUGAAAGUGCUUCGGAAUCAGACAUCUGACACAGAAAUUAGUAAAUAGCAAAUCGUCUGCUCAAUCAUUCGAAGCACCCUGUACAAAUCGCACGACGGCUUCGCUUAUCGAAAUCCUGUAAAUAGCAAACCAUCGGCUCAACCAACCACAACACCCUGUACAAAUUGCACGUCGGCUUCACCAAUCGAAGUCCUGUAUAUAGCAAACCGUCAGCUCAAUCAAACGGAGCGCCUUGUACAAAUCGAACGUCAUCUUCGCCAACUAGAGCCUUGUAUAUAGCAAACUACAAACUUCACCAAUGAAAAUCAAUCUGCAGCACUCACGGAUGCUGGAAUAGACAAUCGCAAACCUCGUCACCAACGUUCUGCCAAUUAAUGGUCGCUACCUAGCUUUGCAGUCAAGAGUAUCACUUAGGCAUACUUAUAUUUCAUUUUGCUAUUACUUUGAAUGUUUUAACGUUUUGUUCGUGCAACUUUAGGCAUGAUUUCGAUCGCUCCCAAGAGGAGAAUACUUUACAUUUCAGUGCAAAGCUCUCCCAACAAGCGAAGACAUACUCUAAAAAUCAAGCGCUCCCAACAAGCGGAGACAUUUCUCAAUGCAAAGCUCUCCCAGCAUGCGGGGACGCACUUUACCAAUCAAGCUCUCCCAACAAGUAGAGAGAAUUUUCAAAUGCUCCGACAACUGCGGAACGGUACCCAUUCCGGCUAACAAAUCGAGUCAUGAUCAAGUAUCCCAUCAUCCCAAUCCCAAAUAAUGGCUCACCGGCAACCAGGCAUCAUCAUUCCUACAUCAUUUACAUCGCAUCUUAAUAUAUUCUACAUUACAAUAUAUUAGUAUGCGUGUAUUUCAUUUUGUUUUGUAGGUAAAAACACCGCAACACGGAACGCGAAACUAUUUCUUAGCAGAAACCAAUCUACAAUGCUAUGGGGACAGCCAACCCAGUUGCGGGCCCAAGAUCCCAGCUCAAGAUGACCAGCGAGCUCAAAAUUUUGAAUCAUUCAAAUCAGGCCACAAAAUUCAAGCUAUCAUGAGUGACCAAUCUUCCAUCUCACCGUAUCGUCACAAUACGAUACUGGGGCAAUUCUUGCGAGUGUCGCUUCCUCACAAUCAAUACUCCAGAACUACAUGAGGCCUGAUCCUCAUUAAUCCUGAGGUAUGUAAGCAAUUCAAAGCCAGAAUUCGGCCCAAUAUUCCCAAACUUUCCUAGAUUCUUCCUCAACUCAUAAUUUUCAUGCCAUUCUUGCAUAUCAUGCCUAAAGUCAGGACAAAAUUGGCUUUGGUUCAAUUUCUUUAUCCGAAAACUCUUUCAUUGUCUCUGGUCAAAGAGGGGCAGCCGUUGACGGCCUAUUUUGACCCUCCCUUUUAAAAUUAAUUUAUUCAGGCUUAACAAUUUACAAUAAAUACUUUAAAAGUAUUUUCUAUUAAUGAAUAUCUAUUUUAUAAAUUAAUUAAGUAUUAGUUUCAAAUUUAAUCAUGUAGUACUGAUAUUGUGUAAUUAAAAAUGUAUUUACUAUAAUAAAAAAUAACUUUUGUAUAUACAUUACAUAAGUUUUCUAAUUUGACAAAAUUACUACUUAAUUUCCAGUGAAUUAGGUUACUAUGUUAAUAUUUUGAAAUUAGUACUAUAAUUCAAAAUAUGUGUCAUUUAUAGAUAAUUAAUUAAAAUAAUUAUCAACAUAUAAUAGUUAUAAUUUUACCAUAUUGUUUUCAUUGAAAUUGUUAAGUUUAUUUAAAUUGAUUUUAAAAGGGUUAAAAAACUAAAAGGCUACAAUUGCAAUUCCUUGGCUAAAUACAAAAUGGCUAUUAGUUAAAUUAUUUUUAGCCCAAAUACCAAGCCCAAUUCGGAUUUGACCCAGUCCAAAUACCCCGUCUCAUUCCAAGUUAGCAAUCCAUGCCACUCUGUGGGAACCAAUGAGAUCGUGCCACGUCACCCCACUUUAUCACUCACAAAACAAACACAUAUGCAUCUGAAGCGUUGAUCCAUCUGAUCAACGGCUCCCAUUUAAUCCUUGAUUUUCCUUUGAUUUUUAAAACAGCCGCCCAAAAACCCCAUCUCCACCGUUCACACCUCAUAAUCCAAUGGCCAUUAAAAUUCUUUCUAAAAAAUACUAAAUGCCCAAAAUUCUAGGGCCGUUGAUCACCAGAUCCAACAACCCGUAUCCUAUCUCCUAAGCUUAACCUUAGAGAUGCCCCAAUACCCCCAAAACCCUAAAUCAUUUGUCACCUGCCCAGCUGCCCUUCUUUUCCCUUCCUAUCUCUCUUCUCUCAUCUGCCCUAGCUCCAUCAAUCAACAGACCUUGCACAAAUUAGUGCAAGGUAGUGAAAUUAACCUCAAAUCAUCUCAUUUGUCCCCCAUAUCCAUGAUUCUCGCUGAAUCUUUGCAUGUUUCAUCAUCAAAAUUCAAAUCUCCCAAAUCCAAACCAUAACCCUAGAGAUGAACCUUCGAAUCGCCCUUGACCUUUCAAAUCCAUGGCAUGCAUGAUUGUUCAUUUUGUUCCUGUACUCCUGAUCUCAUCAUUCUUUCCAUUUUCAUCAUUCAACUUCAAAAGCCCUAAUCGAAGAAGUUAGACCAAAAGAUGAAACUUGAACUCGCCAGAUUUUUUUUCGUCCUUUCAAAUCGAAGCAAGCAUGAGACGUUAGCUGGCUUCAUCAUUAAUAUUCGAUACCUAGAGGUCAAAUGCAAUGACCUCUAGGUAUUAGGGUUCUGACCGGUGGUUUCUUGUGCUUCAAUGUUCAGCCUCCCAUAUCUCUCCACUCAGGUAAACUCAAACACUAAUUUUCCUAUGUUCUCUCUGAUUUUACCUGACUAUGCUCACAUCAUCAACUCACCGUCACUCUCCACUAUCUUAGUUUGAAAUAUGAAUCUCUAAGGAUUUAAAUGUCCUAUAAAUAGGGCCUUUAAUGUUCUCAUCUACAACAACCUAACACUGAACACACAUACAGUCACGAACACUAAGAACACAAAGACACUAAAAAAAUUAGGGUUUCUGGUCUUAGCUUUCUUACUGUUUCCCCUCUCUUUUGUUGAGUUCUUUUACUGGUUCAAGCUCGAAGGUUCUGGGAUCUUGAGCAAUAAAAAGAAUUUGUUUGGUCUGCUGCCCUUAAGAAGGUCAACAUCUUUCUCUACCUUUUUCUUUUGUUCAUCUCUCUGAAUGAUUUAGACAUGUCGAGUUAAGUUCUGCAGAUUAUAAUUAUGCUGUAUGUGUAUGACAUGUUUGAUAUUUAUGCUAUGUUAGUUUGACAACCUUUUCUGGUCAGCUUGUUCUGUUAUGAUUCUCUAAAGUGAUAAUCGAUUAAGUCAUUGAUAAUUGUUGAUCUUUGUUCUGAGUUUACCUACAGUCUCUAUGCCUGAAUUCUUACAUGUUUAUGUUCAACACAAACUUCAUAGUUCUCAGUGACUUACAGUAAACUCAUCUUUGUCUUAUUGCACUUCUGUAAUUUUGUGAGUUUUAGAAGCUGAGUUCACUACCUCAUAGUUAUGACUGAAAUGAAACCUGAACUAAGAUGACUUAUAUCCCCUUGUCUUUUAACAUUGAGCCUAAACUUGAAGUGUCUCUGCUUGUGUUUGUCCAACUAUUUUAUUGAGUUACUACUAUGGUCUUUUACAUUGUUUUAGCUAUCAUUAUUCACUACUAGAAAUAUAGACUUUUUCCACGGAAGAAUCAGUGGAAAAUCUGUGUGAAAUUUUAAUAUUCCCACGACAUUCCCAGGGGAGACGCUCAGUGAAAAAAUGGCUGGUGGAAAAAUAGUUUUCCAGGACAUUCGUAGGUAAUUCCCUGGAGUUUCCCACUGAUAGUUUCACGAGAACUUGGUGGGGUCACCUAGUGUAUUUUUCCACGAAUGUCAUGGGAAAAGUAAGAAAAUAUAAUAAUUUAAUUUUCUUAAGUUUCCCACCAAAUCUAUGGGAAGUAUUAAAAAUAAUUUAGAUAUUUUCUUUUUAUUUUACCCAUGGAAGAAGUGGAAAAUAUUCAUAACCUGAAAAUAAACAUAUGAACAUUCCCACAAAAAUCAGUGAAAAAUAUUGAAAUUCUUGAAAAAAUUUGCACAAAAUUCCCACGGAGUCGGUGGGAAAUCUGGAAAAUAUUUUCCUGGCCAAAUCUGUUCUUAGAACUACACCACCUGCCAAACGGAAAGUACAAUCAACAAUACAAGACUAAAUACAAUUAAGCAUUCAAAUACCAAAUUCAACACGCAAUACAAUUCAUUUCAUAAACAACAACUAAUUCAAUCCAUUUCAUAAUCAAUAUCCAACUAAACAGAAAGUAGAAUUAAAACUCAAAAAAUCCAGCAUUCAAUAUUCAACAUCCAGGUACCAUCAAAGACAAGCUAAUAAAAGAAACUACUCCUUAGUUAUCAUUAGAUGCUGGAGAAUGCGGUACAGGAAAUGCACCUGAUNNNNNNNNNNNNNNNNNNNNNNNNNAUCGUCUUUUCGCCUCAUUUCUUCCUCCCUUCGCCUUUCCUCUUCCUCUCUUCACCUAUCUUCUUCCUCCCUUCGCUUUUCCUCUUCUUCCCUUGCAGCCCUUUCUUGAAGAUACAACUUAGUAAUCUUCGCUACCUUCCUAUUCAAUUUCUCAAACUCAUCCAUAUUAACCGAGAAAUGUGAGGAAGAAUAAGAACCAACAAUCUAGAAGUACGACGACCGAAACUAAACUCUGAUCCAAGGCCGUCGACUCUCCCCAUAUGCAUGCCACUAGCUGCCUUAAUCCACAUGUCCAUGAUCUUCUCUUGGGAUGGUGGGAUUGGCCUACCUUGAUCAUCAAUCGGCUAACAUUGAAUGAACUCCUCCAAGCUUCGUUUGAAAGUAUCCUUUAAAAAAAUUACAAUUAUUAUAUAAGUAAACUUUAUUAAAGAAAAUUUAUACAAGUAUCUUUAUUUCUCAAACUUUAAAGUAAAACACACAGAAAGAUAAAAAGCUUAGCUUACCUCCAUGUUUCAAAGUGAAUGCCUUUGGGUCUUCCAUACCGCAAGGACAAGCUAACUUUCCGGCAGUCGACCAUCCAGAUAAUAUUCCAUAAGCAGGAAAGUUACUAAUAGUCUACAUCAAAGCAACACGCAAUUUAAAAAUUUGCUUAGUUGAUAUGUCGUAUGUUUCAACACCUUCAUGCCACAAUAACUUUAGCUCAUCAAUCAAAGGGUGCAAAUAAACAGCAAUCAAUUUUUUUUGGAUCAUGGACCGGGAACCAUGCUAGUUAGGAACAAAUAUGGACUUGUCAUACACAUCUCUGGCGGAAGAUUAUACGGUUAAGAAGAGCCAAGUUCCGGUGGAUUUGUUCAAAAUUAACACGUGGAAUCACAGUUUAAUUAGAAACUUGCCCUCACUUUUGGUGUUAUUUACGCAAAUGCUAGGCCGUUUGCUAUUGCUAUAAGGGCUUCUCACCUUUAUAUGGCUUGGCUUCGCUAUCCCUCGUAAUGGUCGACAGUAUUCCUGCCAUACCAGAAUUCUAAUUAUUUAGAGCUAGAAGCUUCGCCAGAAGCAAGCAAGAUGAGGUCGCUCUGCUUCGUAGACAAGGCUCGUUCCGUACAUUAUUUACGAGCUCGUGUAGUACUCACCCCUAUCUCUAAAGGGGC
rnacentral:lncRNA from 1 species